rnacentral:lncRNA from 1 species
GAUGCAGUACACCAACCACUCCAUUUCAUAAGGAACUUCGUAUGAACCUGAAUUGUUCAAUUUCAUGGACGAAUCGAUAUCGGAUUGAGGGCAAAACUUGGGGAACAUCCUAAUACGGUGGGAGGAGUCAUCUGGUGGCCUUUGAGUGAAAUCCAAUCCAUUUCAUAACGAACUUCGUACGAACCUGAAUUGUCCAAUUUCAUGGACCAAUCGAUAUCGGAUUGAGUCCAAAACUUUUGAAACAUCAUAAUAUGAUGGGAGGAGUCAUUUGGUGACUUUUCAGUGCAAUUCGAUUGCUAAAACUAUGCAAUACCCUAACCACUCCAUUUCGGAACGAACUUCGUACGAACCUGAAUUGUCCAAUUUCAUGGACCAAUCGAUAUCGGAUUGUGUCUGAAACUUGGGGAACAUCAUAAGAUGAUGGGAGGAGUCAUUUGGUGACUUUUGAGUAAAAUCCAAUGGCUAAAACUAUGCAAUACACUAACGGCUCCAUUUCAGAACAAAAUUGUCCAAUUUCUUGGACUAAUCGAUAUCGGAUUGAGUCCAAAACUUGGGGAACAUCAUAAUACGGUGGGAGGAGUCAUUUGGUGACUUUUGAGUGAAAUCCAAUCUCUACAACAAUGCAAUACACCAACCACCCCAUUUCAUAACAAACUUCGUAUGAACCUGAAUUGUCCAAUUUCAUGGACCAAUCGAUAUCGGAUUGUGUCCAAAACUUGGGGAACAUCAUAAAACGGUGGGAGGAGUCAUUUGGAGGGUUUUGAGUGAAAUCCAAUCUCUACAACUAUGCAAUACACCAACCACUCCAUUUCAUAACGAAAUUCGUACGAACCUGAAUUGUCCAAUUUCCUGGACCAAUCGAUAUCGGAUUGAGUCCAAAACUUUGGGAACAUCAUAAUAUGAUGGGAGGAGUCAUUUGGUGCCUUUUGAGUGAAAUCCAAUGGCUAAAAGUAUGCUAUACACCAACCACUCCAUUUCAUAACGAACUUCGUACGAACCUGAAUUGUCCAAUUUCAUGCACCAAUCGAUAUUGGAUUGGAGCCAAAACUUGGGGAACAUCGUAAUAUGAUGGUUGGAGUCAUUUAGUGACUUUUGAGUGAAAUCCAAUGGCUAAAACUAUGCACACUAACCACUCCAUUUCAGAACGAACUUCGUACGAACCUGUAUUAUCCAAUUUCGUGGACCAAUCAAUACAGGAUUGAGUCCGAAACCUGGGGAACAUCAUAAUAUGAUUGGAGGAGUCAUUUGGUGCCUUUUGAGUGAAAUCCAAUGGCUAAAACUAUGCAAUGCACCAACCACUCCAUUUCAUAACGAACUUUGUAGGAGCCUGAAUUGUCCAAUUAAAUGGACCAAUCGAUAUCGGAUUCAGUCCAAAACUUGGGGAACAUCAUAAUACGGUGCGAGGAGUCAUUUGGAGGGUUUUGAGUGAACUCUAAUCUCUACGACUAUGCAAUACACCAACCACUCCAUUUCAUAACGAACUUCGUACGAACCUAAAUUGUCCAAUUUCAUUGACCAUGACUUUUGAGUGAAAUCCAAUGGCUAAAACUAUGCAAUACACUAACCACUCCAUUUCAGAACAAACUUCGUACGAACCUGAAUUGUCUAAUUUCAUGGACCAAUCGAUAUCGGAUUGAGUCCAAAACUUGGGGAACAUCAUAAUACUACGUUAGGAGUCAUUUGGCGGGUUUUGAGUGAAAUCCAACCGCUACAACUAUGGAAUACACCAACCACUCCUUUUCAUAACGAACUUCGUGCGAACCUGAAUUGUCCAAUUUCAUGGACCAAUUGAUAUCGGAUUGAGUCCAAAACUUGUGGAACAAGAUAAUAUGAUUGGAGGAGUCGUUUGGUGACUUUUGAGUGAAAUCCAAUGGCUAAAACUAUGCAAUACACUAACCACUCCAUUUCAUAACGAACUUCGUGCGAACCUGAAUUGUCCAAUUUCAUGGACCAAUCGAUAUCGGAUUGAGUCCAAAACUUGUGGAACAAGAUAAUAUGAUAGGAGGAGUCAUUUGGUGCCUUUUGAGUGAAAUCCAAUGGCUAAAACUAUGCAAUACACCAACCACUCCAUUUCAUAACGAACUUCGUGCGAACCUGAAUUGUCCAAUUUCAUGGACCAAUUGAUAUCGGAUUGAGGCCAAAACUUGGGGAACAUCAUAAUAUGAUGGUUGGAGUCAUUUGGUGAGUUUUGAGUGAAAUCCAAUGGCUAAAACUAUAAAAUACACUAACCACUCCAUUUCAAAACGAACUUCGUACGAACCUGAAUUGUCCAAUUUCAUUGACCAAUCGAUAUCAAAUUGAGUCCAAAACUUGGGGAACAUCAUAAUAUGAUUGGAGGAGUCAUUUGGUGACUUUUGAGUGAAAUCCAAUGGCUAAAACUAUGCCACACACUAACCACUCCACUUAAGAACGAACUUCGUACGAAACCUGAAUUGUCCAAUUUCAUGGACCAAUCGAUAUCGGAUUGUGUCUGAAACUUGGGGAACAUCAUAACAUGAUGGGAGGAGUCAUUUGGUGACUUUUGAGUAAAAUCCAAUGGCUAAAACUAUGCAAUACACUAACGACUUCAUUUUAGAACAAACUUCGUACGAACCUAAAUUGUCCAAUUUCAUGGACCAAUCGAUAUCGGAUUGAGUCCAAAACUUGGGGGAACAUCAUAAUAUGAUGGAAGGAGUCGUUUGGUGACUUUUUGAGUGAAAUCCAAUGGCUAAAACUUUGCAAUACACUAACCACUCCAUUUCAGACAAACUUCGUACGAACCUGAUUUGUCCAAUUUCAUGGACCAAUCGAUAUCGGAUUGAGUCUGAAACUUGGGGAGCAUAAUAAUAUGAUGGAAGGAGUCAUUUGGUGACUUUUGAGUGAAUCCAAUGGCUAAACUAUGCAUACAUUUAUCCACUCCAUUUCGACGAACUUCGUACGAACCUGAAUUGUCCAAUUUCAUGGACCAAUCGAUAUCGGAUUGAGUCCAAAACUUUGGGAACAUCAGAAUAUAACGGGAGGAGCCAUUUGGUGACUUUUGAGUGAAAUCCAAUGCCUAAAACUAUGCAAUACACUAACCACUUCAUUUUAGAACGAACUUCGUACGAACUGAAUUGUCCAAUUUCUUGGACCAAUCGAUAUCGGAUUGAGUCCAAAACUUGGGGAACAUCAUAAUACGGUGGGAGGAGUCAUUUGGCGGGUUUUGAGUGAAAUCCAAUCUCUACAACUAUGCAAUACACCGACCACUCCAUUUCAUAACGAACUUCGUACGAACCUGAAUUGUCCAAUUUCACGGACCAAUCGAUAUCAGAUGGAGUCCAAAACUUUGGGAACAUCAGAAUAUAACGGGAGGAGCCAUUUGGUGACUUUUGAGUGAAAUCCAAUGCCUAAAACUAUGCAAUACACUAACCACUUCAUUUUAGAACGAACUUCGUACGAACCUGAAUUGUCCAAUUUCAUGGACCAAUCGAUAUCGGAUUGAGUCCAAAACGUGGGGAACAUCAUAAUACGGUGGGUGGAGUCAUUUGGUGUGUUUUGAGUAAAAUCCUAUCUCUAAAACUAUGCAAGACACCAACCUCUCCAUUUCAGAUUGAACUUCGUACGAACCUGAAUUGUCCAAUUUCUUGGACCAAUCGAUAUCGAAUUGAGUCCAAAACUUGGGGAACAUCAUAAUACGGAGGGAGGAGUCAUUUGGCGGGUUUUGAGUAAAAUCCAAUCUCCACAACUGUGCAACGUACGAACCACUCCAUUUCAUAACGAGCUUCGUACGAACUUGAAUUGUCCAAUUUCAUGGACCAAUCGAUAUCGAAUUGAGUCCAAAACUUGGGGAACAUCAUAAUACGGUGGGAGGUGUCAUUUGGUGUCUUUUGAGUGAAAUCCAAUCUCUACAACUAUGCAAUACACCAACCACUCCAUUUCAUAACGAACUUCGUCCGAACCUGAAUUGUCUAAUUUCAUGGACCAAUCGAUAUCGGAUUGAGUCCAAAACUUGGGGAACAUCAUAAUAUGGUGGGAGGAGUCAUUUGGCGGGUUUUGAGUGAAAUCCAAUCUCUACAACUAUGCAAUACACCAACGACUCCAUUUCAAAACGAACAUGAAUUGUCCAAUUUCAUGGACCAAUCGAUAUCGGAUUUAGUCCAAAACUUGUGGAACAAGAUAAUAUGAUAGGAGGAGUCAUUUGGUGACUUUUGAGUGAAAUUCAAUGGCUAAAACUAUGCAAUACACUAACCACUCCAUUUCAUAACGAACUUCGUACGAACCUGAAUUGUCCAAUUUCGUGGACCAAUCGAUAUCAGAUUGAGUCCAAAACUUGGGGAACAUCAUAAUAUAAUGGGAGGAGUCAUUUGGUGACUUUUGAGUGAAAUUCAAUGGCUAAAACUAUGCAAUACACUAACCACUCCAUUUCAGAGCGAACUUCGUACGAGCCUGAAUUGUCCAAUUUCAAGGAUCAAUCGAUAUCGGAUUGAGUCCAAAACUUGGGGAACAUCAUAAUACGUUGGGAGGAGUAAUUUGGUGUCUUUUGACUGAAAUCGAAUGGCUAAAACAAUGGAAUAAACCAACCACUCCAUUUCAGAAUGAACUUCGUAAGAACCUGAAUUGUCAGAUUUCAUGGACCAAUUGAUAUCGGAUUGAGUCCAAAACUUGGGGAACAUCCUAAUACGGUGGGACGAGUCAUUUGGUGUCUUUUGAGUGAAAUUCUAUGGCUAAAACUAUGCAAUACAACAACCACUCCAUUUCAGAACGAACUUCGUAUGAACCUGAAUUGUCCAAUUUCGUGGACCAAUCAAUAUCGGAUUGAGUCCAAAACUUGGGGAACAUCAUAAUACGGUGGGAGGAGUCAUUUGGUGGGUUUUGAGUGAAAUCCAAUCUCUACAACUAUGCAAUACACCAACCACUCCAUUUCAUAUCGAACUUCAUACGAAUCGGAAUUAUCCAAUUUCAUGGACCGAUCGAUAUCGGAUUGAGUCCAAAACUUGGGGAACAUCAUAAUACGGUGGGAGGAGUCGUUUGGUGUCUUUAGAGUGAAAUCCAAUGGCUAAAACUAUGCAAUACACCAACCACUACAUUUCAGAAUGAACUUCGUACGAACAUGAAUUGUCCAAUUUCAUGAACCAAUCUAUAUCGGAUUGAGUCCAAAACUAGGGCAACAUCAUAAUACGGUGGGAGGUGUCAUUUGGUGGGUUUUGAGGGAAAUCCAAUCUCUACAACUACGCAAUACACCAAGCACUUCAUUUCAUAACGAACUUCAUACGAACGUGGAUAUUCCAAUUUCAUGGACCAAGCGAUAUCGGAAUGAGUCCAAAACUUGGGGAACAUCAUAACACUGUGUGAGGAGUCAUUUGGUGUCAUAGUGAAAUUCUAUGGCUAAAACUACGCAAUACACCAACCUCUCCAUUUGAGAACGAACUUCCUACGAACCUGAAUUGUCCAAUUUCAUGGACCAAUCGAUAUCGGAUGGAGGCCAAAACUUGGGGAACAUCCUAAUACAGUGGGAGGAGUCAUCUGGUGGCCUUUGAGUGAAAUUCAAUGGCUAAAACUAUGCAAUACACCAAUCACUCCAUUUUAGAACGAACUUCCUACGAACCUGAAUUGUCUAAUUUCAUGGACCAAUCGAUUUCGGAUUCAGGCCAAAACUUGGGGAACAUCCUAAUACGGUGGGAGGAGUCAUCUGGUGGCCUUUGAGUGAAAUCCAAUGUCUACAACUAUGUAACACACAAACCACUCCAUUUCAUAACGAACUUCGUACAAACCUGAAUUGUCCAAUUUCAUGGACCAAUCGAUAUCGGAUUGAGUCGAAAACUUGGGGAACAUCAUAAUAUGGUGGGAGUAGUCAUUUGGUGGGUUUUGAGUGAAAUCCAAUCUCUACAACUAUGCAAUACACCAACCACUCCAUUUCAUAACGAACUUCAUACGAACCUGAAUUAUCCAAUUUCAUGGACCAAUCGAUAUCGGAUUGAGUCCAAAACUUGGGAAACAUCAUCAUACGGUGGGAUGAGUCAUUUGGUUGGUUUUGAGUGAAAUCCAAUCUCUACAACUAUGCAAUACACUAACCACUCCAUUUCAUAACGAACUUCAUAUGAACUUGAAUUGUCCAAUUUCAUAGACCAAUCGAUAUCGGAUUGAGUCCAAAACUUGGGGAACAUCAUAAUAUGGUGGGAGGAGUCAUUUGGUGUCUUUUGAGUGAAAUCCAAUGGCUAAAACUAUGCCAUACACCAACCACUCCAUUUCAGAAUGAACUUCAUACGAACCUGAAUUGUCCAAUUUCAUGGACCAAUCGAUAUCGGAUUGAGUCCAAAACUUGGGCAACAUCAUAAUACGGUGGGAGGUGUCAUUUGGUGGGUUUUGAGUGAAAUCCAAUCUCUACAACUAUGCAAUACACCAACCACUCCAUUUCAUGACGAACUUCGUACGAACCUCAAUUGUCCAAUUAUAUGGACCAAUGGAUACCGGAUUGAGUCCAAAACUCGGGGAACAUCAUAAUACGAUGGGAGGAGUCAUUUGGUGGGUUUUGACUGAAAUCCAAUCUCUACAACUAUGCAAUACACCGACCACUCCAUUUUAGAACGAACUUCGUUCGAACUUGAAUUGUCCAAUUUCAUGGACCGAUCGAUAUCAGAUUGAGAUCAAAACGUGGGGAGCAACAUACUGUGGUGGGUGGAGUCAUUUGGUGGCCUUGAAGUGAAAUCCAAUGGGAUAAACUAUGCAAUACACCAACCACUCCAUUUCGGAACGUACUUCAUACAAACCUGAAUUGUCCAAUUUCGUGGACCAAUCAAUAUCGGAUUGAGUCCAAACCUUGGGAAUCAUCAUAAUACGAUGGGAAGAGUCAUUUGGUGGGUUUUGAGUGAAAUCGAAUCUCUACAACUAUGCAAUACACCAACCACUCUAUUUCAGAACGAACUUCGUACAAACCUGAAUUGUCCAAUUUUAUGGAGCAUUCGAUAUCGGAUGGAGCCCAAAACUUGGGGAACAUCAUAAUACGGUGGGACGAUUCAUUUGGUGUCUUUUGAGUGAAAUCCAAUGGCUAAAACUAUGCAAUACAUCAACCACCCUAUUUCAUAACGAACUUCGUACGAAGUUGAAUUAUCCAAUUUCAUGGACCAAUCGAUAUUGGAUUGAGUCUUAAACUUGGGGAACAUCAUAAAAUGAUGGGAGGAGUCAUUUGGUGACUUUUGAGUGAAAUCCAAUGGCUAAAACUAUGCAAUACACUAACUACUCCAUUUCAGAACGAACUUCGUUCGAACCUGAAUUAUCCAAUUUCAUGGACCAAUCGAUAUCGGAUUGGGGAAUCAUCAUAAUCCGAUGGGAGGAGUCAUUUGGUGGGUUUUGAGUGAAAUCCAAUCUCUACAACUGUGCCAUGCACCGACCACUCCAUUUCAUAACGAACUUCAUACGAACCUGAAUUGUCCAAUUUCAUCGACCAAUCGAUAUCGGAUUGAGUCCAAAACAUGGGGAUCAGCAGAAAUACGGUGGGAGGAGUCAUUUCGUGGGUUUUGAGAGAAAUGCAAUCUCUACAAUUAUGCAAUACACCAACCACCAUAUUUCAUAACGAACUUCGUACGAACCUGAAUUGUCCAAUCUCAUGGACCAAUCGAUAUGGGAUUGAGUCCAAAACUUUGGGAACAUCAUAAUAUGGUGGGAGGAUUCAUUUGGUGGGUUCUGAGUGAAAUACAAUCUCUACAACUAUGCAAUACACCAACAACUCCAUUUCAGAACGAACUUCGUACGAACCUGAAUUGUGCAAUUUCGUGGACCAAUCGAUAUCGGAUUGAGUCCAAAACUUGUGGAACAUCAUAAUACGAUGGGAGGUGUCAUUUGGUGGGUUUUGAGUGAAAUCCAAUCUCUACAACUAUGCAACACACCAACCACUCCGUUGCAUAACGAACUUCGUACGAACCUGAACUGUCCAAUUUCAGGGACCAAUCGAUAUCGGAUUGAGUCCAAAACUUGGGGAACAUCAUAAUAUGAUGGGAGGAGUCAUUUGGUGACUUUUGAGUGAAAUCCAAUGGCUAAAACUACGCAAUACACCAACUACUCUAUUUCAGAACGAACUUCGUACGAACCUGAAUUGUCCAAUUUCAUGGACCACUCCAUUUCAGAACGAACUUCAUAUGAACCUGAAUUGUCCAUUUUUAGGGACCAAUCGAUAUCGGAUUGAGUCCAAAACCUAGGAAUCUUCAUAAUACGGUGGGAGGAGUCAUUUGGUGGGUUUUGAGUGAAAUCGAAUCUCUACAACUAUGCAAAACACCAACCACAACAUUUCAUAACGAACUUCGUAGGAACCUGAAUUGUCCAAGUUCUUGGACCAAUCGAUAUCGGAUUGAGUCCAAAACUUGGGCAACAUCUUAAUAUGAUGGGAGGAGUCAUUUGGUGACUUUUGAGUGAAAUCCAAUUUCAGGGACCAAUCGAUAUCGGAUUGAGUCCAAAACUUGGAGAACUUCAUAAUACGGUGGGAGGAGUCAUUUGGUGGGUUUUGAGUGAAAUUCAAUCUCUACAACUAUGCAAUACACCAACCACUCCAUUUCAUCACAAACUUCGUACGAACCUGAAUUGUCCAAUUUCAUGUUCCAAUCGAUAUAGGAUUGAGUCCAAAACUUGGAGAACAACAUAAUAUGAUGGGAGGACUCAUUUGGUGACUUUCGAGUGAGAUCCAAUUGCAAAAACUAUGCAAUACACUAACCACUCCAUUUCAGAACGAACUUUGUACGAACCUGAAUUGUCCAAUUUCAUGGACCAAUCGAGAUCGGAUUGAGUCCAAAACUUGGGGAACAUCAUAAUACGGUGGGAGGAGUCAUUUGGCCGGUUUUGAGUGAAAUCCUACCCCGACAACUAUGCAAUACACCAUCCACUCCAUUUCAUAACGAACUUCGUACGAACCUGAAUUGUCUAACUUCAUGGACAAAUCGAUAUUGGAUUGAGUCCAAAACAUGGGGAACAUCAUAAUAUGAUGGGAGGAGUCAUUUGGUGUCUUUUGACUGAAAUCCAACAGCUAAAACUAUGCAAUACACCAACCACUCCAUUUCAGAACGAACUUUCGUACGAACGUGAAUUGUCCAAUUUAAUGGAACAAUCGAUAUCGGAUUGAGUCCAAAACUUGGGGAACAUCAUAAUACGGUGGGAGUUGUCAUUUGUUGGAUUUUGAGUGAAAUCCAAUCGCUACAACUAUGCAAUACCCCAACCACUCCAUUUCAUGACGAACUUCGUACGAACCUGAAUUGUCCAAUUUCAUGGACCAAUCGAUAUCGGAUUGAGUCCAAAACUUGGGGAACACCAUAAUACGGUGGAAGGAGUCAUUUGGUGGGAUUUGAGUCAAAUACAAUCUCAACAACUGUGCAAUACACCAACCACUCCAUUUUAUACCCAACUUCGUACAAACCUGAAUUGUCCAAUUUCAUGGACCAAUCGAUAUCAGAUUGAGUCCAAAACUAGGGGAACAUCAUACUAUGAUGAGGGGAGUCAUUUGGUGUCUUUUGACUGAAAUCCAAUGGCAAAAACUAUGCAAUACACCAUCCACUCCAUUUCAGAACGAACUUCGUAGGAACCUGAAUUGUCCAAUUUUUUGGACCAAUCGAUAUUGGAUUGAGUCCAAAACUUGGGGAAUAUCAUAAUGUGGUGGGAGGAGUCAUUUGGUGGGUUUUGAGUGAAAUCCAAUCUCUACAACUAUGCAAUAUACCAACCACUCUAUUUCAUAACGAACUUCGUACGAACCUAAAUUGUCCAAUUUCAUGGACCAAUCAAUAUCGGAUUGAGUCUAAAACAUGAGGAAUAUCAUAAUACGGUGGGAGGAGUCAUUUGGUGGGUUUGGAGUGAAAUCCAAUCUCUACAACUGUCCAAUACAUCAAUCACUCCAUUUCAUAACGAACUUGGAAUGAACCUGAAUUGUCCAAUUUCAUGGACCAAUCGAUAUCGGAUUGAGUCCAAAACUUGGGGAACAUCAUAAUACCCUGGGAGUCGUUUGGUGUCUUUUGAGUGAACUCCUAUGGCUAAAACUAUGCAAUACAGCAAGCACUCCAUUUCAGAACGAACUUCGUACGAAUAUGAAUUGUCCAAUUGAUGGACCAUCGAUAUCAGAUGAGUCCAAAACUUGGGGAACAUCAUAAUACGGUGGGAGGAGUCAUUUGGUGUGUUUUGAGUGAAAUCCAAUCUCUACAACUAUGCAAUACACCAACCACUCCAUUUCAUAACGAACUUCUUACGAACCUAAGUUGUCCAAUUUCAUGGACCAAUCAAUAUCGGAUUGAGUCUAAAACAUGGGGAAUAUCAUAAUACGGUGGGAGGAGUCAUUUGGUGGGUUUGGAGUGAAAUCCAAUCUCUACAACUAUCCAAUACAUCAAUCACUCCAUUUCAUAACGAACUUGGUACGAACUUGAAUUGUCCAAUUUUAUGGACCAAUCCAUAUCGGAUUGAGUCCAAAACUUAGGGAACACCAUAAUACGGUGGGAGUCGUUUGGUGUCGUUUGAGUGAACUCCUAUGCCUAAAACUAUGCAAUACAGCAAGCACUCCAUUUCAGAACGAACUUCGUACGAACAUGAAUUGUCCAAUUUAAUGGACCAAUCGAUAUCAGAUUGAGUCCAAAACUUGGGGAACAUCAUAAUACGGUGGGAGGAGUCAUUUGGUGUCUUUUGACUGAAAUCCAAUGGCUAAAACUAUGCAAUACACCAACCACUCCAUUUCAUAAUGAACUUCAUACGAACAUGAAUUGUCCAAUUUAAUGGACCAAUCGAUAUGAGAUUGAGUCCAAAACUUGGGGAACAUCAUAAUACGGUGGGAGGAGUCAUUUGGUGGAUUUUGAGUGAAAUCCAAUCUCUACAACUAUGCAAUACACCAACCACUCCAUUUCAUAACGAACUUCGUACGACCCUGAAUUGUCCAAUUUCAUGGACCAAUCGAUAUCGGAUUGAGUCCAAAACAUGGGGAACAUCAUAAUGCGGUGGGAGGAGUCCUUUGGUGGGUUUUGAGUGAAAUCCAAUCUCUACAAUUAUGCAAUACACCAACUACUCCAUUUCAGAACGAACUUCGUACGAGGGUGAAUUGUCCAAUUUCAUGGACCAAUCGAUAUCGGAUUGAGUCCAAAACUUGGGAAACAACAUAAUAUGAUGGUUGGAGUCAUUUGGUGAUAUUUGAGUGAAAUCCAAUGGCUAAAACUAUGCAAUAUACAAACCACUCCAUUUCAGAAUGAACUUUGUACGAACCUGAAUUGUCCAAUUUCAUGGACCAAUCGAUAUCGGUUUGAGUCCAAAACUUGGGGAUCAUCAAAAUACAGUGGGAGGAGUCAUUUUGGUGGGAUUUGAGUGAAAUCCAAUCUCUACAACUAUGCAAUACACCACCAGUCCAUUUCAUAACGAACUUGGUACGGACCUGAAUUGUCCAAUUUCAUGGACCAAUCGAUAUCGGAUUGAGUCCAAAACAUGGGGAACAUCAUAAUGCGGUGGGAGGAGUCAUUUGGUGGGAUUUGAGCGAAAUCCAAUCUCUACAACUAUGCAAUACACCACCAGUCCAUUUCAUAACGAACUUCGUACAAACCUGAAUUGUCCAAUUUCAUGUUCCAAUCGAUAUCGGAUUGAGUCCAAAACUUGGGGAACAUUACAAUAUGAUGGGAGGAGUCAUUUGGUGAUUUUUGAGUGAAAUCCAAUGGCUAAAACUAUGCAAUACACUAAUCACUCCAUUUCAGAACAAACUUCGUACGAACUUAAAUUGUCGAAUUUGAUGGACCAAUCGAUAUCGAAUUGAGUCCAAAACUUGGGGAACAUCAUAAUACAGUGGGAGGAGUCAUUUGGUGGCUUUUGAUUGAAAUCCAAUCUCUACAACUAUGCAAUACACCAACUACUCCAUUUCAUAACGAACUUCGUUUGAACCUGAAUUGUCCAAUUUCAUGGACCAAUCGAUAUCGGAUUGAGUCCAAAACAUGGGGAACAUCAUAAUAUGAUGGGAGGAGUCAUUUGGUGUCUUGUAAGUGAACUCCUAUGGCUAAAACUAUGGAAUACACCAACCACUCCAUUUCAGAAUGAACUUCGUACGAACCUGAAUUGUCCAAUAUCAUGGGCCAAUCGAUAUCGGAUUAAGUUCAAAACUUGGGUAACAUCACAAUAUUGUUGGAGGAGUCAUUUGGUGACUUUUGAGUGAAAUCCAAUGGCUAAAACUUUGAAAUAGACAUGCCACUCCAUUUCAGAACGAACUUUUUUAAGAACCUAAAUUGUAUAAUUUCAUGGACCAACCGAUAUCGGAUUGAGUCCAAAACUUGGGGAACUUCAUAAUAUGGUGGGAGGAGUCAUUUGGUGGCUUUUGAGUGAAAUCCAAUCUCUACAACUAUGCAAUACACUAACCACUCCAUUUAAGAACGAACUUCGUACGAAACUGAAUUGUCCAAUUUCAUGGACCAAUCAAUAUCGGAUUGUGUCCAAAACUUGGGGAACAUCGUAAUAUGAUGGGAGGAGUCAUUUGGUGUCUUUUCAGUGAAAUCCAAUGGCUAAACCUAUGCAAUACACCAACCACUCCAUUUCAGAACGAACUUCGUACGAACCUGAAUUGGCCUAUUUUUGGGACCAAUCGAUAUCGGAUUGAGUCGAAAACGUGGGGAGCAUCAUACUGUGGUUGGUGGAGUUAUUUGGUGGCUUUCGAGUGAAAUCCAAUGGGAAAAACUGUGCAAUACACCAAUCACUCCAUUUCACAACGAACGUGAAUUGUCCAAUUUCAGGGACCAAUCGAUAUCGGAUUGAGUCCAAAACUUGGGAAUCAUCAUAAUACGAUGGGAGGAGUCAUUUGGUGGGUUUUGAGUGAAAUCCAAUCUCUACAACUAUGUAACACACGAACCACUCCAUUUCAUAACGAACUUCGUACGAACCUGAAUUGUCCACUUUCAUGGACCAAUCGAUUUCGGAUUGAGUCCAAACCUUGGGGAUCAUCAUAAUACGGUGGGAGGACUCAUUUUGUGGAUUUGGAAAGAAAUCCAAUCUCUACAACUAUGCAAUACACCAACUACCCUAUUUCGUAACGAACUUCGUACGAACCUGAAUUGUCCAAUUUCAAGGACCAAUUGAUAUCGGAUUGAGUCCAAAACUUGGGGAACAUCAUAAUACGGUGGGAGGAGUCAUUUGGUUUGUUUUGAGUGAAACCCAAUCUCUACAACUAUGCAAUAAAGCAACCACUCCAUUUCAUAACGAACUUCAUAUGAACCUGAAUUAUCCAAUUUCAUGGACCAAUCGAUAUCGGAUUGAGUCCAGAACUUGGGGAACAUCAUAAUACGGUGGGAGGAGUCAUUUGGUGUCUUUUGAGUGAAAUCCAAUGGCUAAAACUAUGCAAUACACCAACCACUCCAUUACAGAACGAACUUCGUACGAACAUGAAUUGUCCAAUUUCAUGGACCAAUAGAUAUCGGAUUGACUUCAAAACUUGGGGAACAUCAUAAUACAGUGAGUGGAGUCAUUUGGUGGGUUUUGAGGGAAAUCCAAUCUCUACAACUGUGCAAUACACCAACCACUCCAUUUCAUAACGAACUUCGUAUGAACAUGAAUUGUCCAAUUUCAUGGACCAAGCGAUAUCGGAAUGAGUCCAAAACUUGGGGAACAUCCUAAUAUGGUGGGAGGAGUCAUUUGGUGUCUUUUGAGUGAAAUCCUAGGGCUAAAACUAUGCAAUACACCAACCACUCCAGUUCAGAACGAACUUCGUGCGAACCUGAAUUGUCAAAUUUCAUGGACCAAUCGAUAUCAGAUUGAGUCCAAAACUUACUGACCAACAUAAUGUUGUGGGAGGUGUCAUUUUGUAAGUUUUGUGUGAAAUCCAAAGGAUAAAACAAUGUAAUACACCAACCACUCCAUUUCAGAACGAGCUUUGUACGAACCUGAAUUGUCCAAUUUCAUAGACCAAUCGAUAUCGGAUUCAGUCCAAAACUUGGGGAACAUAAUAAUAUUGUGAGAGGAGUUAUUUGGUUCGUUUUGAGUGAAAUCCAAUCUCUAGAACUACACAAUACACAAACCACUCCAUUUCAACACGAACUUCGUACGAACCUGAAUUGGCCGAUUUUUGGGACCAGUCGAUGUUGGAUGGAGUCCAAAACUUUGGGAACAUCGUAAUAUAGUGGGAGUAGUCAUUUGGUGGGGUUUGAUUGAAAUCCAGUGGCCAAAACUGUGAAAUACACCAACCACACCAUUUCAGAACGAACUUCGUUCAAAACUGAAUUGUCCAAUUUCAGGGCCAAUCAAUAUCGGAUUGAGUCCAAAACUUGGGGAACAUCAUAAUAUUGUGGGAGGAGUCAUUUGGUGGGUUUUUAUGAAAUCCAAUCUCUAGAACUAUACAAUACACCAAAGCUUCAUACAAACCUUAAUUGUCCAAUUUCAUGGACCAAUCGAUAUCGGAGAUCCAAAACUUGGGGAAGAUCAUAAUAUGGUGGCAGGAGUCAUUUGGUGAGUUUUGAGCAAAAUCGAAUUGCCAAAACUGUGCAAUACAUCAACCACUCCAUUUCAGAACGAACUUCGUUUGAAACUGAAUUGUCCGAUUUUGUGGACCAAUCAAUAUUGGAUUGAGUCCAAAACUUGGGGAACAUCAUAAUAUUGUGGGAGGAGUAAUUUCUUGGGUUUUGAAUGAAAUCCAAUCUCUUGGACGAUACAGUACACCAACCACUCCAUUUCAUAACGAACUUCGUACGAACCUGAAUUGUUCAAUUUCAUGGAAAAAUCAAUAUUGGAUUGAGUGUAAAACUUGGGGAACAUCAUAAUGUUGUGGGAGGAGUCAUUUGGUGAGUUUUGAGUGAAAUCCAAUUGCCAAAACUAUGCAACACACCAACCAAUCCAUUUCAGAACGAGCUUCGUAUGAACCUGAAUAUUCCGAUUUCAUCGACCAAUUGAUAUCGGAUAGAGUCCAAAAAUUGGGGAACGUCAUAAUAUUGUGGCAGUCAUUUGGUGGGUUUUGUGUGAAAUCCAAUCCCUAGAACUAUACAAUACACCAACCACUCCAUUUGGGAACGAACUUCGUACAAACCUGAAUUGUCCGAUUUCGUCGACCAAACGAUAUUAGAUUGAGUCCAAAACUUGGGGAACAUCAAAAUAUUUUCGGAGGAGUCAUUUGUGGGGUUUGAGUGAAAUCCAAUCUCUAGAACCAUACAAUACACCGACCACUCCAUUUCAGAACAUACUUCGAACGAACCUAAAUUGUCCAAUUUCAUGGACUAGUCGAUAUCGAAUUGAGUCCAAAACUUGGGGAACAUCAUAAUGUUGUGGGAGGAGUCAUUUGGUGAGUUUUGAGCAAAAUCUGAUGGCAAAAACAAUGGCAUAGACCAACGACUGCAUUUUAGAACGAACGUCGUACGAAACUAAAUUGUCCGAAUUCGUGGACCAAUCGAUAUCGGAUUGAGUCCAAAACUUGCGGAACAUCAUAAUGUUGUGGGAGGAGUCAGUUGGUGGGUUUUGAGUGAAAUCAAAUCUCUAGAACUAUACAAUGCGCCAACCACUCCAUUUCAGAACGAAGUUCGUAUGAACCUAAAUGUCCAAUUUCAUGGACCAAUCGAUAUCAGAUUGAGUCCAAAACUUGGGGAACAUCAUAAUAUAGUGGGAGGAGUCUAUUAGUGGGUUUUGUGUCAAAUCCAAGGGCAAAAACAAUGCAAUACACCACCCACUUCAUACGAACCUGAAUUGUCCAAUUUCGUGGACCAAUCGAUAUCGGAUUGAGUCCACAACUUGGGAAACAUCAUAAUAUGGUGGGAGGAGUCAUUUAGUGACUUUUGAGUGAAAUCCAAUGGCAAAAACUUUGCAAUACACCAACUACUUCAUUUCAUAACGUACUACGUACGUACUGGAAUUGUCCGAUUUCAUGGACCAAUCGAUAUCGGAUUGAGUACAAAACCUGGUGAACAUCUAAUAUGAUGGGAAGAGUCAUUUGGUGGGUUUGAGUGAAACCCUAUCUCUUGAACCAUGCAAUACACCAACCUCUCCAUUUCAUAAGGAACUUCAUAUGAACAUGAACAGUCCGAUUUCAUGGACCAAUCGAUAUCGAAUUGAGUCCAAAACUUGGGGAACAUCAUAAUAUGGUGGGAGGAGUCGUUUGGUGACUUUUGAGUGAAAUCCGAUGGCUAAAACUAUGCAAAACACCAACCACUCCAUUUCAUCACGAACUUCGUACAAACCUGAAUUGUCCAAUUUCAUAGACCAAUCGAUAUCGGAUUGAGUUCAAAACUUGGGGAACAUCAUAAUAUGGUGGGAGGAGUCGUUUGGUGACUUUUGAGUGAAAUCCAAUGGCUAAAACUAUGCAAUACACCAACCACUCCAUUUUAGAACGAACUUCGUACGAACCUGAAUUGUCCAAUUUCAUGGACCAGUCGAAAUCGGAUUGAGUCCAAAACUUGGGGAACAUAAUAAUACGGUGGGAGGAGUCAUUUGGUGGGUUUUGAGUGAAAUCCAAUCUCUACAACUAUGCAAUACACUAACCACUCCACUUCAUAACUAACUUCAUACGAACUUGAAUUGUCCAAUUUCAUGGACCAAUCGAUAUCGGAUUGAGUCCAAAAUUUGGGGAACAUCAUAAUAUGGUGGGGGAAGUCAUGUGGUGACAUUUGAGUGAAAUCCAACGGCUAAAAGAAUGCAAUACCCCCAACCACUCGAUUUUUUAACAAACUUCGUAUGAACAUGAAUUGUCCAAUUUCAUGGACCAAUCAAUGUCGGAUUGAGUCUAAAACUUGGUGAACAUCAUAAUAUGGUGGGAGGAGUCAUUUGGUGACUUGUGAGUGAAAUCCAAUGGCUAAAAUAUUGAAAUACACAAACCACUCCAUUUCAGAACGAACUUUGUACGAACCUGAAUUGUCCAAUUUCAUGGAUCAAUCGAUAUCGGAUUGAGUCCAAAACGUGGGGAACAUCAUAAUAUGGUGGGCGGAGUCAUUUGGUGACUUUUGAGUGAAAUACAAUGGGUAAAACUUUGCAAUACACCAACCAGUUCAUUUCAGAAUGAACUUCGUACGAACCUGAAUUGUCCAAUUUCAUGGACCAAUCGAUAUCGGAUUGAGUCCAAAACUUGAGGAAAAUCAUAAUAUGAUGGGAGGAGUCAUUUGGAGACUUUUGAUUGAAAUUCAAUGGCUAAAACUAUGCAAUACACUAACCACUCCAUUUCAGAACGAACUUCGUACGAGCCUGAAUUGUCCAAUUUGAUGGACCAAUCGAUAUCGGAUUGAGUCCAAAACUUGGGGAACAUCAUAAUACGGUGGGAGGAGCCAUUUGGUGGCUUUUGAGUGAAAUCCAAUCUCUACAACUAUGCAACACACCAACCACUCCAUUUCAGAACGAACUUCGUACGAACCUGAAUUGUCCAAUUUCAUGGACCAAUCGAUAUCGGAUUGAGUCCAAAACUUGGGGAACAUCAUAAUACGGUGGGAGGACUCAUUUUGUGGGUUUUGAGUGAAAUCCAGUCUCUACAACUAUGCAAUACACCAACCACUCCAUUUUAUAACGCACUUCGUACGAACCUGAAUCGGCCAACUUCAAGGACCAAUCGAUAUCGGAUUGAGUCUAAAACUUGGGGAACAUCCUAAUACGGCGGGAGGAGUCAUUUGGUUGCUUUUGAGUGAAAUCCUAUGGCUAAAACUACGCUAUACACCAACCACUCCAUUUCAGAAGGAACUUCGUACGAAACUGAACUGUCCAAUUUCAUGGACCAAUCGAUAUCGGAUUGAGUCCAAAACAUGGCGAACAUCGUAAUACGAUGGGAGGAGUCAUUUGGUGUCUUUUAAGUGAACUCCUAUGGCUAAAACUACGGAAUACACCAACCACUCCAUUUCCGAACGAACUUCAUACGAACCUGAAUUGUCUAAUUUCAUGGACCAAUCGAUAUUGGAUUGAGUCCAAAACUUGGGGAACAUCAUAAUACGUUGGGAGGAGUCAUUUCGGGGGUUUUGAGUGAAAUCCAAUCUCUACAACUAGGCAAUACACCAACCACUCCAUUUCAUAACGAAUCUCGUACGAAGCUGAAUUGUCCAAUUUCAUGGACCAAUCGAUAUCGGAUUGAGUCCAAAACUUGGGGAACAUCAUAAUAUGUUGGCUGGAGUCAUUUGGUGACAUUUGAGUGAAAUCCAAUGGCUAAAACUAUGCAAUACACUAACCACUCCAUUUCAGAACGAACUUUGUACGAACCUGAAUUGUCCAAUUUCAUGGACCAAUCGAUAUCGGAUUGAGUCCAAAACAAGGGGAACAUCACAAUAUGAUGGGAGGAGUUAUUUGGUGUCUUUUGACUGAAAUCCAAUGGCUAAAACUAUGCAAUACACCAACCACUCCAUUUCAGAACGAACUUCGUACGAACCUGAAUUGUCCAAUUUCAUGGACCAAUCGAUAUCGGAUUGAGUCCAAAACUUGGGGAACAUCAUAAUAUGAUGGGAGGAGUCAUUUGGUUUCAUUUUAGUGAACUCCUGUGGCUAAAACUAUGCAAUACACCAACCACUCCAUUUCAGAACGAACUUCGUACGAACCUGAACUGUCCAAUUUCAUGGACCAAUCGAUAUCGGAUUGAGUCCAAAACAUGGCGAACAUCAUAAUAUGAUGGGAGGAGUCAUUUGGUGUCUUUUAAGUGAACUCCUAUGGCUAAAACUACGGAAUACACCAACCAUUCCAUUUUCGAAUGAACUUCGUACGAACCUGAAUUGUCCAAUUUCAUGGACCAAUCGAUAUCGGAUUGACUCCAAAACUUGGGGAACUUCAUAAUACGGUGGGAGGAGUCAUUUGGUGUCUUUUUAGUUAAAGCCAAUGGCUAAAACUAUGCAAUACACCAACCACUCCAUUUUAGAACGAACUUCGUACGAACCUGAAUUGUCCAAUUUCAUGGACCAGUCGAAAUCGGAUUGAGUCCAAAACUUGGGGAACAUAAUAAUACGGUGGGAGGAGUCAUUUGGUGGGUUUUGAGUGAAAUCCAAUCCCUACAACUAUGCAAUACACUAACCACUCCACUUCAUAACUAACUUCAUACGAACUUGAAUUGUCCAAUUUCAUCGGCCAAUCGAUAUCGUAUUGAGUCUAAAAUAUGGGAAACAUCAUGAUACGGUGCGAGGAGUCAUUUGGUGGGUUUUGAGUGAAAUCCAAUCUCUACAACUAUGAAAUACAACAACCACUCCAUUUCAGAACGAACUUUGUACGAACUUGAAUUGUCCAAUUUCAUGGACCAAUCGAUAUCGAAAUGAGUCCAAACCCUGGGGAACAUCAUAAUACGGUGGGAGGAGUCAUUUAGUGUCUUUUGAGUGAAAUUCAAUGGCUAAAACUAUGCAAUACACCAACCACUCAUUUCAGAACGAACUUCGUACGAACCUGAAUUGUCCAAUUUCAUGAACCAAUCGAUAUAGGAUUGAGUCCAAAACUUGGGGAACAUCAUAAUACGGUGGGAGGAGUCAUUUGGUGUCUUUGAGUGAAAUCCAAUGGCUAAAACUAUGCAAUACACCAACCACUCCAUUCUCAGAUACGAACUUCGUACGAACUUGAAUUGUCCAAUUUCAUGGACCAAUCGAUAUCGGAUUGAGUCCAAAACUUGGGGAACAUCAUAAUACGGUGGGAGGAGUCAUUCGGUGGGUUUUGAGUUAAAUCCAACCUCUAUAACUUUGCAAUACACCAACCGCUCCAUUUCAGAACGAACUUCGUACGAACCUGAAUUGUCCAAUUUCAUGGACCAAUCGAUAUCGGAUUGAGUCCAAAACUUGGGGAACAUCAUAAUACGGUUGGAGGAGUCAUUUGGUGUCUUUUGACUGAAAUCCAAUGGCUACAACUAUGCAAUACACCAACCACUCCAUUUCAGAACGAACUUCGUACGAACCUGAAUUGUCCAAUUUCAUGGACCAAUCGAUAUCGGAUUGGGUCCAAAACUUGGGGAACAUCCUAACACGGUGGCAGGAGUCAUUUGGUGGUUUUUGAGUGAAAUUCAAUCUCUACAACUGUGCAGUACACCAACUACUCCAUGUCAUAAUGAACUUCGUACGAACCUGAAUUGUCCAAUUUCUUGGAAAAAUCGAUAUCGGAUUGAGUCCAAAACUUGGGAUUCAUCAUAAUAACGUUGUAGGAGUCAUUUGGUGGGAUUUGAGUGAAAUCCAAUUUCUACAACUAUGCAAUACACCAACCACUCCAUUUCAGAACGAACUUCGUAUGAACCUAAAUUGUGCAAUUUCAUGGACCAAUCGAUAUCGGCUUGAGUCCAAAACUUGGGGGACAUCAUAAUACGGUGGCAGGAGUCAUUUGGUGCGUUUUGAGUGAAAUCCAAUCUCUACAACUAUGCAAUACACCCACCACUCUAUUUCAGAACGAAGUACGUACGAACCUGAAUUCUCCAAUUUCAUGGACCAAUUGAUAUCGGAUUGAGUCCAAAACGUGGGAACAACAUAAUACGGAGGGAGGAGUCAUUUGGCGGGGUUUCAGUGAAAUCCAAUCUCUACAACUAUGCAAUACACCGACCACUCCAUUUCAUAACGAACUUCGUAUAAACCUGAAUUGUCCAAUUUAAUGGACCAAUCGGUAACGGAUUGAGUCCAAAACUUUGGGAACAUCAUAAUACGGUGGGAGGAGUCAUUUGGUGGGUUUUGAGUGAAAUCCAAUCUCUACAACUAUGCAAUACGCCAACCACUCCAUUUCAUAACGAACUUCGUACGAACCUGAAUUGUCCAAUUUCAUGUUCCAAUCGAUAUCGGAUUGAGUCCAAAACUUGGGGAAUAUCAUAAUACGGUGGGAGGAGUCGUUUGGUGGGUUUUGAGUGAAAUCCAAUCUCUACAACUAUGCAAUACACCAACCACUCCAUUUCAGAACGAACUUCGUACAAACCUGAAUUGUCCAAUUUCAUGGACCGAUCGAUAUCGGAUUGAGUGGAAAACCUGGGGAACAUCAUAAUACGGUGGGAGGUGUCAUUUGGUGUCUUUCAAGUGAAAUCCAAUGGCUAAAACUAUGCAAUACACCAACCACUCCAUUUCCGAACGAAGUUCGUAGGAACCUGAAUUGCCCAAGUUCUUGGACCAAUCGAUAUCGGAUUGAGUCCAAAACUUGGGGAACAACAUAAUAUGGUGGGAGGAGUCAUUUGGUGUCUUUUGACUGAAAUCUAUUGGCUAAAACUAUGCAAUAACCAACCACCCCAUUUCAGAACGAACUUCGUACGAGCCUGAAUUGUCCAAUUUCUUGGACCAAUCGAUAUCGGAUUGAGUCCAAAACAUGGGGAACAUCAUAAUAUGAUGGGAGGAGUCAUUUGAUGUCUUUUGACUGAAAUUCAAUGGCUAAAACUAUGCAAUACACUAACCACUCCAUUUCAGAACGAACUUCGUACGAACCUUAAUUGUCCAAUUUUAUGGACCGAUCAAUAUCGAAUUGAGUGAAAAACCUGGGGAACAUCAUAAUACGGUGGAAGGUGUCAUUUGGUGUCUUUCGAGUGAAAUCCUAUGGCUAAAACUAUGCAAUACACCAACCACUCCAUUUCCGAACGAAGUUCGUAGGAACCUGAAUUGCCCAAGUUCUUGGACCAAUCGAUAUCGGAUUGAGUCCAAAACUUGGGGAACAACAUAAUAUGGUGGGAGGAAUCAUUUGGUGUCUUUUGACUGAAAUCUAUUGGCUAAAACUAUGCAAUAACCAACCACCCCAUUUCAGAACGAACUUCGUACGAACCUGAAUUGUCCAAUUUCAUGGACUAAUCGAUAUCGGAUUGAGUCCAAAACUUGGGGAACAUCAUAACACGGUGGGAGGAGUCAUUUGGUGGGUUUUGAGUGAAAUGCAAUCUCUACAACUAUGCAAUACGCAAACCACUCCAUUUCAUAACGAGCUUCGUACGAACCUGAAUUGUCCAAUUUCAUGUUCCAAUCGAUAUCGGAUUGAGUCCAAAACUUGGGGAAUAUCAUAAUACGGUGGGAGGAGUUGUUUGGUGGGUUUUGAGUGAAAUCCGAUCUCUACAACUAUGCAAUACACCAACCACUCCAUUUCAGAACGAACUUCGUACGAACCUUAAUUGUCCAAUUUCAUGGACCGAUCAAUAUCGAAUUGAGUGAAAAACCUGGGGACCAUCAUAAUACGGUGGAGGGUGUCAUUUGGUGUCUUUCGAGUGAAAUCCAAUGGUUAAAACUAUGCAAAACAACAACCACUCCAUUUCAGAACGAACUUCGUACGAACCUGAAUUGUCCAAUUUCAUGGAACAAUCGAUAUCGGAUUGAGUACAAAACUUUGGGAACAUCAUAAUACGGUGGGAGGAGUCAUUUGAUGGGUUUUGAGUGAAUUCCAAUCUCUACAACUAUGCAAUACACCAACCACUCCAUUUCAGAACGAACUUCGUACGAACCUGAAUUGUCCAAUUUCAUGGAACAAUCGAUAUCGGAUUGAGUACAAAACUUGGGGAACAUCAUAAUACGGUGGGAGGAGUCAUUUGAUGGGUUUUGAGUGAAUUCCAAUCUCUACAACUAUGCAAUACACCAACCACUCCAUUUCAUAACAAACUUCGUACGAACCAGAAUUGUCCAAAUUCUUGUACCAAUCGAUAUCGGAUUGAGUCCAAAACUUGGGGAUCAUCAGAAUACGGUGGGAGGAGUCAUUUGGUGGGAUUUGAGUGAAAUCCAAUAUCUACAACUAUGCAAUACACCAACCACACCAUUUCAUAACUAACUUCGUACGAACCUGAAUUGUCCAAUUUCAUGGACCAAUCGAUAUCGGAUUGAGUCCAAAACUUGCGGAACAUCGUAAUACGGUGGGAGGAGUCAUUUGGUGGGUUUUGAGUGAAAUCCAAUCUCUACAACUAUGCAAUACACCGACCACUCUAUUUCAUAAAGAACUUUGUACGUACCUGAAUUGUCCAAUUUCUUGGACCAAUCUAUAUCGGAUUGAGUCCAAAACGUGGGGAUCAUCAUAAUACGGUGGGAGGAGUCAUUUGGUGGGUUUUGAGUAAAAUCCAAUCUCUACAACUAUGCCAUACACUAACCACUUCAUUUCAGAACGAACUUCGUACGAACCUGAAUUGUCCAAUUUCAUACACCAAUCGAUAUCGGUUGAGUCCAAAACUUGGGGAACAUCAUAAUACGGUGGGAGGAGUCAUUUGGUGGCUUUCGAGUGAAAUCCAAUCUCUAGAACUAUGCAAUACACCAACCACUCCAUUUCAUAAAGAACUUCGUACGAACCUGAAUUGUCCAAUUUCAUGGACCAAUCGAAAUCGGAUUGAGCCCAAAACAUGGAGAUCAUCAUAAUACAGUGGGCGGAGUCAUUUGGUGGGAUUUGAGUGAAAUCCAAUCUCUACAACCAUGCAAUACACCAACCACUCCAUUUCAGAACGAACUUCGUACGAACCUGAAUUGUCCAAUUUCAUGAAACAAUCGAUAUCAGAUUGACUCCAGAACUUGGGGAACAUCGUAAUACGGGGGGAGGAGUCAUUUGGUGGGUUUUGAGCGAAUUCCAAUCUCUACAACUAUGCAACACACCAACCACUCCAUUUCCCAACGAACUUCGAACGAACCUGAGUUGUCCAAUUUCAUGGACCAAUCGAUAUCGGAUUGAGUCCAAAAGUUGGGGAUCAUCUUAAUAUGGUGGGAGGAGUCAUUUGGUGGCUUCUGAGUGAAAUCCAAUCUCUACAACUAUGCAAUACGCCAACCACUCCAUUUCAUAAAGAACUUCGUACGAACCUGAAUUGUCCAAUUUCAUGGACCAAUCGAUAUCAAAUUGAGUCCAAAACUUGGGGAAUAUCAUAAUAUGAUGGGAGGAGUCAUUUGGUGACUGAAAUCCAAUAGCUCAAACUAUGCAAUACACCAACCACUCCAUUUCAGAACGAACUUCGUACGAACCUGAAUUGUCCAAUUUAAUGAACCAAUCAAUAUCGGAUUGACUCCAAAACUUGGGGAAUAUCGUAAUACAGUGGGAGGAGUCAUUUGGUGGGUUUUGAGUGAAAUCCAAUCUCUACAACUAUGCAAUACACCAACCACUCCAUUUCAUAAAGAACUUCGUACGAACCUUAAUUGUCCAAUUUCAUGGACCAAUCGAAAUCGGAUUGAGCCCAAAACAUGGAGAUCAUCAUAAUACAGUGGGCGGAGUCAUUUGGUGGGAUUUGAGUGAAAUCCAAUCUCUACAACCAUGCAAUACACCAACCACUCCAUUUCAGAACGAACUUCGUACGAACCUGAAUUGUCCAAUUUCAUGAAACAAUCGAUAUCAGAUUGACUCCAGAACUUGGGGAACAUCGUAAUACGGGGGGAGGAGUCAUUUGGUGGGUUUUGAGCGAAUUCCAAUCUCUACAACUAUGCAACACACCAACCACUCCAUUUCCUAACGAACUUCGAACGAACCUGAGUUGUCCAAUUUCAUGGACCAAUCGAUAUCGGAUUGAGUCCAAAAGUUGGGGAUCAUCUUAAUAUGGUGGGAGGAGUCAUUUGGUGGCUUCUGAGUGAAAUCCAAUCUCUACAACUAUGCAAUACGCCAACCACUCCAUUUCAUAAAGAACUUCGUACGAACCUGAAUUGUCCAAUUUCAUGGACCAAUCGAUAUCAAAUUGAGUCCAAAACUUGGGGAAUAUCAUAAUAUGAUGGGAGGAGUCAUUUGGUGACUGAAAUCCAAUAGCUCAAACUAUGCAAUACACCAACCACUCCAUUUCAGAACGAACUUCGUACGAACCUGAAUUGUCCAAUUUCAUGAACCAAUCAAUAUCGGAUUGACUCCAAAACUUGGGGAAUAUCGUAAUACAGUGGGAGGAGUCAUUUGGUGGGUUUUGAGUGAAAUCCAAUCUCUACAACUAUGCAAUACACCAACCACUCCAUUUCCUAACGAAUUUCCUACGAACCGGAGUUGCCCAAUUUCUUGGACCAAUCUAUAUCGGAUUGAGUCCAAAACUUGGGGAACAUCAUAAUACGGUGGGAGGAGUCAUUUAGUGGCUUUUGAGUGAAAUCCAACCUCUACAACUAUGCAAUACACCAACCACUGCAUUUCAGAACGAACUUCGUACGAACCUGAACUGUCCAAUUUCAUGGACCAAUCGACAUCGAAUUGAGUCCAAAACUUAGGGGACAUCAUAAUACGGUGGGAGGAGUCAUUUGGUGGGUUUUGACUGAAAUCCAAUCUCUACAACUAUGCAAUACACCAACCACUCCAUUUCAGAACGAACUUCGUACGAACCUGAAUUGUCCAAUUUCAUGGACCAAUCGAUAUCGGAUUGAGUCCACAACUUGGGGAACGUAAUAAUACGGUAGGAGGAGUCAUUUGAUAGGUUUUGAGUGAAAUCCAAUCUUUACAACUAUGCAACACACCAACCACUCCAUUUCAUAACGAACUUGGUACGAACCUGACUUGUCCAAUUUCUUGGACCAAUCUAUAUCGGAUUGAGUCCAAAACUGGGGGAUCAUCAUAAUACGGUGGGAGGAGUCAUUUGGUGGGAUUUGAGUGAAAUCCAAUCUCUACAACUAUGCAAUACACCAACCACUCCAUUUCAUUACGAACUUCGUGCGAACCUGAAUUGUCCAAUUUCACGGACCAAUCUGUAUCGGAUUGAGUCCAAAACUUGGGGAACAUCAUAAUACGGCAGGAGGAGUCAUUUGGUGGGUUUUGAGUGAAAUCCAAUCUUUACAACUAUGCAACACACCAACCACUCCAUUUCAAAACGAACUUCGUACGAACCUAAAUUGUCGAAUUUCAAGGACCAAUCGACAUCGGAUUGAGUCCAAAACUUGGCUAACAUCGUAAUACGAUGGGAGAAUUCAUUUGGUGGCUUUUGAGUGAAAUCCAAUCUCUACAACUAUGCAAUACUCUAACCACUCCAUUUCAUAAAGAACUUCGUACGAAUCUGAAUUGUUCAAUUUCAUGGACCAAUCGAUAUCUGAUUGAGUCCAAAAUUUGGGGAACAUCAUAAUACGGUGGGAGAAUUCAUUUGGUGGCCUUUGGGUGAAAUCCAAUCUCUACAACUAUGCAAUACAUCAACCACUCCAUUUCAUAACGAACUUCGUACGAACCUGAAUUGUCCAAUUUCUUGGACCAAUCCAUAUCGGAUUGAGGCCAAAACUUGGGGAACAUCAUAAUACGAUGGGAGGAUUCAUUUGGGGACUUUUGAGUGAAAUCCAACGGCUAAAACUAUGCAAUACACUAACCACUCCAUUUCAGAACGAACUUCGUACGAACCUGAAUUGUCGAAUUUCAUGGACCAAUCGAUAUCGGAUUGAGUCCAAAACUUAGGGUACAUCAUAAUAUGGUGGGAGAAUUCAUUUGGUGGGUUUUGAGUGAAAUCCAAUCUCUACAACUAUGCAAUACACCAACCACUCCAUUUCAUAAUGAACUUCGUACGAACUUGAAUUGUCCAAUUUCAUGUGCCAAUUGAUAUCUGAUUGAGUCCAAAACUUGGGGAACAUCAUAAUAUGAUGGUUGGAGUCAUUUCGUGACUUUUGAGUGAAAACCAAUGGCUAAAACUUUGCAAUACACUAACCACUCCAUUUCAGGACGAACUUCGUACGAACCUGAAUUGUCCAAUUUCAUGGACCAAUCGAUAUCGGAUUGAGUCCAAAAUGUGGGGAUCACCAUAAUACGGUGGGCGGAGUCAUUUGGUGGGAUUUGAGUGAAAUCCAAUCCCUAAAACUAUGCAAUACACCAACUACUCCAUUUCAGAACGAACUUUGUACGAACCUGAAUUGUCCAAUUUCAUGAACCAAUCGAUAUCGGAUUGACUCCGAAAGUUGGGGAACAUCGUAAUACAGUGGGAGGAGUCGUUCGGUGGGUUUUGAGUGAAAUCCAAUCUUUACAACUAUGCAAUACACCAACCACUCCAUUUCAUAACGAACUUUGUACGAACCUGAGUUGUCCAAUUUCUUGGACCAAUCUAUAUCGGAUUGAGUCCAAAACUUGGGGAACAAUAUAAUACGGUGGGAGGAGUCAUUUAGUGGCUUUUGAGUGAAAUCCAAUUGGUAAAACUGUGCAAUACACCAACCACUCCAUUUCAGAAAGAACUUCGCACGAACCUGAGUUGUCUAAUUUAAUGGACCAAUCGAUAUCGGAUUGAGUACAAAACUUGGGGAACAUCAUAAUACGGUGGGAGUUGUCAUUUGGUGGAUUUUGAGUGAAAUCCAAUCUCUACAACUAUGCAACACCAACCACUCCAUUUCAUGAUGAACUUCGUACGAACCUGAAUUGUCCAAUUCCAUAGACCAAUCGAUAUCGGAUUGAAUCCAAAACUUGGGGAACAUCGUAUUAUGAUGGUUGGAGUCAUUUGGUGACUUUUGAGUGAAAUCCAAUGGCUAAAACUAUGCAAUACACUAACCACUCCAUUUCAGAACGAACUUCGUACGAACCUGAAUUGUCAAAUUUCAUGGACCAAUCGAUAUCGGAUUGAGUCCAAAACAGGGGGAACAUCAUAAUAUAUGGGAGGAGUCAUUUGGUGUCUUCUGAGUGAACUCCUAUGGCUAAAACUAUGCAAAACACCAACCACUAUAUUUCAGAACGAACUUCGUACGAACCUGAAUUGUCCAAUUUCAUCGACCAAUCGGUAUCAGAUUGAGUCCAAAACUUGGGGAACAUCAUAAUACGGUGGGAGGAGUCAUUUGGUGGGUUUUGGGUAAAUUCCAAUGUCUACAACUAGGCAAUACACCAACCACUCCAUUUCAUAACGAACUUCGUACGAACUUGAAUUGUCCAAUUUCACGUUCCAAUCGAUACCGGAUUGAGUCCAAAACAUGGGGAACAUUAUAAUAUCAUGGGAGGACUCGUUUGGUGACUUUUGAGUGAAAUCCAAUUGCUAAAACGAUGCAAUACACUAACCACUCCAUUUCAGAACGAACUUCUUACGAACCUGAAUUGUCCAUUUUCAUGGACCAAUCGAUAUCGGAUUCAGUCCAAAACUUGGGGAACAUCAUAAUACGGUGGGAGGAGUCAUUUGGUGGGUUUUGAGUGAAAUCCAAUCUCUACAACUAUGCAAUACACCAACCACUCCAUUUCAGAAUGUACUUCGUACGAACCUGAAUUGUCCAAUUUCAUGGACCAAUCGAUAUCGGAUUGAGUCCAAAACUUGGGGCAUAUCAUAACACGGUGGGAGGAGUCAUUUGGUGGCUUUUGAGUGGAAUCCAAUCCCUGCAACUAUGCAAUACACCAACUACUCCAGUUCAUGACGAACUUCGAGCGAACCUGAAUUGUCCAAUUUCAUGGACCAAUCGAUAUCGGAUUGUGUCCAAAAGAUGGGGAACAUCAUAAUACGGUCGGAGGAGUCAUUUGGUGGGUUGUGAGUGAAAUCCAAUCUCUUCAACUAUGCAAUACACCAACCACGCAAUUUCAGAACGAACUUCGUACGAAACUGAAUUGUCCAAUUUCAUGGACCAAUUGAUAUCGGAUUGUGUCCGAAACUUGGGGAACAUCAUAAUGUGAUGGGAGCAGUCGUUCGGUGUCUUUUGAGUGAAAUCCAAUGGCUAAAACUAUGCAAUACAGCAACCACUCCAUUUCAGAACGAACUUCGUUCGAACUCGAAUUGCCCAAUUUCAUGGACCAAUCGAUAUCGGAUUGAGUCCAAAACGUGGGGAGCAUCAUAAUAUGGUGCGUGGAGUGAUUUGGUGGCUUUUGAGUGAAAUCCAAUGGGAAAAACUAUAAAAUAUACCAACCACUCCAUUUCAUAACGAACUUCGUACGAACCUGUAUUGUCCAAUUUCGUGAACCAAUCGAUAUCGGAUUGAGUCCAAAACUUGGGCAACACCAUAAUAUGAUGGGAGAAGUCAUUUGGUGACUUUUGAGUGAAAUCCAAUGGCUAAAACUAUGCAAUACACAAAACCACUCCAUUUCAGAACGAACUUCGUACAAACCUGAAUUGUCCAAUUUCAUGGACCAAUCGAUAUCGGAUUGAGUCCAAAACAUGGGGAACAUCAUAAUAUGAUGGGAGGAGUCAUUUCGUGGCUUUUGACUGAAAUCAAAUGGCUAAAACUCUGCAAUACACUAACCACUCCACUCCAUUUCAACAUCAGAAUUGGUUCAAGGGUUUCCUCUCAUGAAUUUAUUUUCACUCAUGUUGUUUAUUUUUGUUUUAAUCUCUUUGAACAUGAUGUGUAACUAAAUUCAUAGCUAGGGAUUUCGAUGUAGCCUUGCAACAUUGAUCCAUGUUUCUAAUUUAGAGUAUUCAGUUCAUCAAUUUAUUUCUUGUUUCAUUCACUGAAUCUAUUGUUCAAUUUGUUUGUCAAUUUUAAUGUUUGAUCACCGCUAGAGUUGCCUACAGAUUAUCUAGACAAGGUUAUAGUAAACAUCAUGCUUAAUCUUGUUAGACAUGUGAAUGAAUGAAGAGAAUGCUAUGCAAACAUCAUGCUGUGUAUUUUCUUUGGUUCUUUAACGUUUUCUUGCAUGCUAAUGACUCUUAACUUGGAACCAAAGUUGAACAUCCCAACUAGGUUGCAGAUUAGGAGAAUUUGAUCAAAACCACACAUCAUAUGGCUGAUCAUAUAUAUGUAAAACGAACUCUGGAAACAGGUUGGUAGUUGAGUACGGUUUAAUUUUAUAAACAUGGAAUUAGUUUUGCAAUGGUGAAUUCGAAAUCCCUGGUCUCUUCCCUAUUCUUUCUACAUCAAUAUAUUAUUCACUACUACAUUCUUUUUGCAUUGGAAGUUAUUUUUCAUUUACAACACAAAAACUACUUUCAAAUUGUCACUUUCAUUUUUAGUUAGGGUUCUUUCGAAACUAGUAAUUUAUAGAGGUCCAAUCGGUCCCUGUGGUUCGAUACCCUUACUUGUACCAUUAUACUAACCAUAUAUUGGCACUUGGAAGGAACACAACAAAAUUUUGGCGCCGUUGCCGGGGACUGAUUUCAAUCUUCUAUAAUUGCUUGUUCUCAAACCCUAAUUUCAUUUUUAUUUUUGUUUCUCAGGUAGUAUAUGUCAGAUACACUUGCUGAGAUAGGCCAAAGACUUGAACGGUUGAAGAGCAACACUUUUGAGAAGUCUAUAUCAGCUAGUGCCCAAACUAGCAGUGUAGAAGAGGACAAUAGUUCUUCUGGCCCAACGAGUGUAGAUUCUUUCGAUAACUCUAAUUCUGACAGAGAAGAAGAGAUGGCUGACAAUAACGAUGAAAAUCGAGCUUUGGAAGAUUAUGCUCAACCGGUUAUACCAAAUUCCCCUUCGUGCAUCUUGCUGCCUACUGAAGCUAGAAAUUAUGAUCUCAAAUCUUCACAUUUUCACAUGCUUCCUUCUUUUUAUGGUUUACCUAACGAAGAUCCAUUAGCCCAUAUUAAGGAAUUCUACAAUGUUGUGAGUAGUUUACCUUUGCAGGGAGUGACUGAAGCAAAUCUGAGGAUGAGGGUUUUUCCUUAUACAUUGAAAGAUAGAGCAAAGGGUUGGCUAAUGACUUUAGCACCUGGUUCGCUCACCACUUGGGAUGCCGUAGCUAAGAAAUUUUUGGAGAAGUUCUUCUCUACUCAAAAGACAGCUACUUUGAGAGGGCAAAUCUUUAACUUUAAACAAGAUGAUGGAGAACCUUUCAAUGAAUGUUGGGAGCGUUUCAAAGGCCUGUUGCUGCAAUGUCCACAUCAUGGGUUACCUCUUUACUUACAAAUGCAAAUUUUUUAUGAGGGACUAACCCAAACAUGUCAAUCGACUGUUGAUAAUGCAGCAGGUGGAGCUUUGAAGAAAAAAAAUGCUCAAGAGUCAUAUAACAUUUAUGAGAUGUUGGGAUCUAAUGCUCCACACAAAGAUACAAGAGGUAAACGAGUUGGAGUGUAUGAAAUGAGUUCUAAUAAUGAUCUGGCCUUGCAGGUGGCUAGUUUGGAAAAGAAGCUCGAUUCUAUGAUCAAUAUGGUGCCUAAGAUAGCUGAGGUGUGUACCAUUUGCAAUAUACCAGGUCAUCCAACUUAUCAAUGCUCGGCUAGUGAGGCUUAUCCCGAAUUUGUUCAAGAGCAAGUGAAUCUCAUGAAUUCUUACAAUCAGAGGCCGAGGAAUGACCCGUUCUCUAAUACAUAUAACCCGGGUUGGAGAGAUCAUCCCAAUCUCUCAUGGAAGAAUAACAAUCAAUUUCAAAAUUUCCAACCAAAGCAUGCCACUACGCUUAAAGAUACGGUCAAAAUGCUAGCUCAAAACACUGUUCAAUUCCAGCAAACUACCAAUAGUACUCUCCAACAACAUUCAGCUGCUCUAACCAAAAUGGAGACACAAUUAGGUCAGAUUGCUGAUGCUUUGAGUCAAAGAGAACCCGGAAAAUUUCCAAGCCAACCGGUGAUACUUCAAAGGAACCAAGAGCAAGCCAAAGCGGUCAUAACUCUUAGAAGUGGUAAGGUUAUUAAUAAUGGAGUUGGCAAUGAAGUUACUAAUGAAUCUGAUCAUGUGAAUGCAGGUCCCACUCAAGAAGAGAAUGAGAAACCGAAUGACGAUCCAAGCAAUGCCACUUCUUCGUUUGAAGCUCCAAAUUUUCACAAGGCUGAAAAACCUUACUCUCCACCCAUUCCAUUUCCUGGAAGACUUGCCAAAAGCAAGCAGGAUAAGUCAUUUAAAGAAAUUUUUGAUAUAUUAAGUAAAGUGAAUGUUAAUUUACCUUUGCUUGAUGUCAUUAGGAAUAUGCCAGCGUAUGGGAAAUUUUUCAAGGAGCUAAACACUUACAAGAGGAAGUAUGGACCUAAUGAGAAGGUGUUGGUGUCUGAAAAUGUGAGUGCUGCGCUUCAAAGAAAGCUCCCACCAAAACUCAAGGAUCCGGGCAGUUUUUCUAUCAAUAUCACCAUUGGAGAUAAGCUAGUUGAAAAGGCUAUGCUUGACUUGGGGGCUAGCAUCAAUUUAAUGCCCUAUUCAGUGUACCUUCAAUUAGGUUUGGGGGGUUUGAAGGCAACAACUAUUUCAUUGCAACUUGCUGAUCGAUCAGUGAAAUAUCCAAGAGGUAUAGUGGAAGAUAUCUUAGUUCAAGUUGACAAACUAAUUUUGCCUGCUGAUUUUGUAGUGUUGGACAUGGAAGAGGCUCCUCUACCUGAUCGUGAGUUACCUAUUAUUCUUGGGAGACCCUUUAUGGCCACGGCAAAGACGAUCAUAGAUGUGCAAAAUGGUCUCCUCACCAUGACUGUGCUAGGAGAAACUGUACAAUUCAAAGUGUUUGAAUCUCUUUCUCACCCUUCUAGUUCAAUUGAUUGUUGUUCGAUUGAUGUGCUUGAUUCACUUGUUUUCUCUAAGUUUUUGCUGGCACAAUCCAAUGAUCCAUUACAAUAUGUUUUGAGUCAAUCUCAAAAUGACUUUGAUGAAGAAGUGCUCAUGGAGAUGGUGGCUGCCUUGGAAGCAUUAAAAUAAUAUCCCUCCACAUUUUCGCCUCUUAUAGAGCCAUUAGAACCAUCUACCACACAUCUGAUCCCUUCUAUUGUUAAACCUCCAAAACUAGACCUUAAACCACUUCCAUCACAUCUAAAAUAUGCUUACCUAGCUGAGUUUGAAACUCUCCCAGUUAUAAUAGCAUCUGACCUCACCCGUUUGGAAGAAGAUAAGCUAAUUAGGGUGCUAAAAGAGUUCAAAUCAGCCAUUGGUUGGUCUAUUGCAGAUAUCAAGGGAAUAAGCCCUACCAUGUGUCUGCAUCGAAUUUUAUUGGAGGGAGCGAAACCAACUCGUGAACCACAAAGAAGGCUCAAUCCACACAUGAAGGAAGUAGUGAGAGCUGAAGUGCUGAAGUUGCUAGAUGUGGGUAUCAUAUACCCGAUUUCUGAUAGCAAAUGGGUCAGCGCUGUUCACGUAGUGCCUAAGAGGAUUGGAAUCACAGUGGUAAAAAAUGAGCAUAAAGAGCUUGUUCAAACGAGACCUGCAGCUAGUUGGCGUGUUUGCACCGAUUACAGGAAGUUGAAUUCAGACACUAGAAAAGCGUCUUUCUGCAAACAGCGUUCGCCAGUUGAAGUUCAUACCUUUUUUCUUCUAUUUUAAUGGGGAUUUCCCUUUUUUAAGUGCUCUCCCCUGCUAUCGCUGCGCUUAUUAUUUUCCUAUGCCUUUUAUUGAUCAAAUGGUUGAGCGAUUAGCUGGUCACUCAUAUUAUUGUUUUCUUGAUGGAUAUUCAGGUUAUAAUCAAAUUGUGAUUGCUUCGGAAGAUCAAGAGAAGACUACAUUCACCUGUCCUUUUGACACUUUUGCAUAUAGGAGGAUGCCUUUUGGCCUUUGCAAUGCCCCAGCAACAUUCCAAAGAUGUAUGCUAGCAAUCUUUUCAGAUAUGAUUGAGAGAUUUAUUGAGGUAUUCAUGGACGAUUUUUCAGUUUUUGGUUCUUCUUUUGAUAAUUGUCUUAACCAUCUCUCUCUAGUGCUUCAAAGAUGUCAGGAAACAAAUUUGAUUCUCAACUGGGAAAAGUGUCAAUUUAUGGUGAAACAAGGUGUUGUGUUGGGGCAUGUAAUAUCCAACAAGGGUAUUGAAGUUGACAAAGCAAAAAUUGACAUCAUCUCAAAUAUGGCAGCCCCUGCUUCAGUGAAGGGAGUGAGAAGCUUUCUAGGACAUGCUGGUUUUUAUCGUCGUUUCAUUAAGGAUUUUUCCAAGAUCACUCAUCCAUUGUGCAAUCUUUUGGCCAAAGAUGUUGUAUUUCACUUUGAUAAAGAUUGUAUGAAUGCAUUUAAUACCUUGAAACGUGAACUAACCUCUGCUCCUAUCAUUAUGGCACCAGAUUGGUCUUUGCCUUUUGAGCUAAUGUGUGAUGCCUCUGACUAUGCUAUUGGUGCUGUUUUAGGUCAAAGAGUAAAUAAGCUGCCACACGUAAUAUACUAUGCAAGUCUGACGUUAAACGAUGCUCAACUCAAUUACUCUACAACUGAGAAGGAGUUGCUUGCUGUUGUGUUUGCUUUAGAGAAAUUUCGUUCAUAUCUUGUUGGCUCUAAAGUUAUUGUUUACUCUGAUCAUGCAGCUCUUAGGUUUUUGUUGACCAAGAAAGAUGCUAAACUACGUUUGAUCAGAUGCAUACUCUUGUUUCAAGAGUUUGACCUAGAAAUUCGAGACAAGAAAGGGAGUGAAAAUGUUGUUGCUGAUCACUUGUCAUGUCUUGUUGAUGAAAACCAUGGAGAUGGACAAAUUUUGCCUCUCAACGAAUCAUUCCCGGAUGAACAACUCUUUGUCAUUCAAGAUAAAGAGCCAUGGUAUGCUGAUUUUGUCAAUUAUCUUGCUUCUGGUGUAAUUAGAGAUGAUUUGACUUUUCAGGAGAGAAAGAAGUUCUUUUCAAUGGUGAAACACUACAUGUGGGAUGAGCCCUAUUUGUUCAAGUAUUGCCCUGACCAAAUCAUUCGAAGAUGUGUUCCAGAGAGUGAGCAGUGAAGCAUACUAACAUUCAGUCAUGCAUUGGCAUGCGGAGGUCAUUUCAGUGCCAAAAAGACAGCUUUAAAGGUUUUACAAUCUGGUUUCUUUUGGCCUACAUUGUUUAAAGAUGCUUUUGAUUUUUGCUCUAAGUGUGAUAGGUGUCAGAAAAUGGGGAGCAUCAGUCGCAGGAAUGAAAUGCCAUUAAACAACAUUUUAGUGAUAGAGCUGUUUGAUGUGUGGGGAAUUGACUUCAUGGGACCAUUCCCAUCUUCUUUUGGAUACAUAUACAUACUAGUGGCAGUAGAUUAUGUAUCAAAAUGGGUUGAGGCAACAGCUACACGAACUAAUGAUCACAAAGUUGUUUUGAAUUUUCUCAAAGAUAUUAUUUUCACUAGGUUUGGAACUCCGAGAGCUAUCAUUAGCGAUGGUGGCAGUCACUUCUGCAACAAACCUUUCGAGGCAUUGAUGAAGAAGUACAACAUCACACAUAAAGUGGCAACUCCAUACCAUCCUCAAACCUCUGGACAAGUGGAAAUCAGCAAUAGAGAAAUAAAGAACAUCUUGAUGAAAACCGUCGGCCUUACAAGGAAGGAUUGGUCACUAAGGUUGAAUGAUGCACUUUGGGCGUAUCGAACAGCGUACAAGACCCCAAUUGGAAUGAGCCCUUAUCGACUGGUGUUUGGAAAGGCAUGUCAUCUGCCAAUGGAGCUCGAGCACCGUGCAUAUUGGGCCAUAAAGAAGUUCAAUUUUGAUCUCAAAGAAGCUGGUACAGUGAGGAAGCUCCAACUCAAUGAGUUGGAAGAGCUCAGAAAUGAAUCAUAUGAGAAUGCAAGGAUCUACAAAGAACGAACCAAGCUCUACCAUGACAAAGCAAUUCUUAGGAAGGAGUUUUAACCAGGUAUGAAAGUACUUUUGUAUGACUCACGUUUGCGACUGUUUCCAGGUAAAUUGAAGUCUAGAUGGGUUGGACCAUUCAAAGUGCUUCAAGUAUUUCCCCAUGGAGCUAUGGAGAUAGAAAACAUCAAGAAUGGCACCCAUUUUAAGGUCAAUGGACAGCGUUUGAAGCCUUAUUUGGAGAAUGUUUCACAGGAGCAGGUUUAUGUCGUUAUAGAUUCUCUCGAGUUUAUGGCAACUUAGACACACUACCAUGUCUUGCCUAGACAUUAAAUAAAGCGCUUGCUAGGAGGCAACCUAGCUGGGUUUGUGUUCUUUCCGUUUAUUUGUGUUGGUUUUUAGUUUUUAUUUUAUUUCUUUCCGUACACACUGUGCCAAUUUGCAUUGCAUCCAUUCCAUUCAUUUUUUUUUUCAAAGCGUCGAGGACAAUGCUUAGUUUAGGUUUGGGGGUGUGGGAUUUUCGUUUGUUUUUAGUUCUGGUUAAAGUUUGCUUUUGCUUACUAAUGUGAAUGUAUAUGAGGGCUAUGGUUUACAAUGAGGACUACUGUGAUGUCAUGAAAAAGUUCAUAUCAUAUCUUUUUUUUUCAAAGCUGUUACUCUUGGAAUCAUGGUGGUUAAAGUAUCAUGCUCAAAUUCUAGAAGAAGAAUUGUGGAGACUACCCUAGUGAGUGAUUUUGAGCCUAUUUACUUCUUUGAGAGGGUUUAAAGUGUUUGUACUCCUAUCUUUUUGCUUCAAUGUCAUUUCAAAUUAUCUCAUUAUUUUUGUUUGAUUGAACGCUAAGAAUUGUUCGCUUUCACAGAUACCAUGUGUUUGGUAACAUUCAUGAAUGAAUUCAUUGAGACGAUGUUAGGCUAUGCAUGUCUUAACCACCAAAAGGCCUAAUUUCUUACCUUUAUGUGUGUGCCAUUACCCCAUUUUGAAGCCAAUCAUUUUUAGCCAUUUUCUUUUCUCACAUUUGUUUCCCCAUAUCCUUUUAUCUCAAUAUGAGAUAUUUAGCCCAUUACAGCUAUACCCUAUAGUUUGGGGAAUACCAAAGUGAUGAAGACAAAGAUAAUUCGAGCUCUACAUCAAGAAAGUGGUAUGUACCGAGGUAUGUGUGCUGGAAUUGUAGAAAAAAAGAAAGAAAAAAGAAACAAAGUUUUAGAAAAAGAAAAGAAAAGAAAAAGACUCAAAGAGGAUGUAAUUUCUAAAUUCUUCCAUUAUCGCACGGGUCCUGGAUGCCACGAACAAACAACAAAGAUCAAUUCAAGAGGAGAGCUUGCUGCUUUCACAAGGAAGACACUUUGGUAUGUCCCAAGCUUUAGUAUUUCCUAUCCUUUCUUUCAUAGCCCCUGACCUAAGCCUUACAUUACACACCUUGUGAAAGACCUAGCUGAUCUUUGGGGAUGUAUUCAUGGGUGCUGCUAAGUAUGCGUGCUAUCCAUAAUCUUAGUGUUUAAUUCCUUUCAUGAGAUAUGUCCAGAAAUUGUGCUUUUAUUUCAUAUCUCAUAUGUGUGGAUUUUGAUUCCCUUUUACAUAACUUCACUCACAUAUGUUUGAGGAGAGACCACACCUUAGGAUCUGAGUGAAAAUUUGAGUGCUAUCUGUGAGGACUAGAGUUGAGGCGAUUUCUAUCUUCGGCAUGAUGUGUAACUAAAUUCAUAGCUAGGGAUUUCGAUGUAGCCUUGCAACAUUGAUCCAUGUUUCUAAUUUAGAGUAUUCAGUUCAUCAAUCUGUUUCUUGUUUAAUUCACUGAAUCUAUUGUUCAAUUUGUUUGUCAAUUUUAAUGUUUGAUCACCAUUAGAGUUGCCUACAGAUUAUCUAGACAAGGUUAUAGUAAACAUCAUGCUUAAUCUUGUUAGACAUGUGAAUGAAUGAAGAGAAUGCUAUGCAAACAUCAUGCUGUGUAUUUUCUUUGGUUCUUUAACGUUUUCUUGCAUGCGAAUGACUCUUAACUUGGAACCAAAGUUGAACAUCCCAACUAGGUUGCAGAUUAGGAGAAUUUGAUUAAAACCACACAUCAUAUGGCUGAUCAUAUAUAUGAAAAACGAACUCUGGAAACAGGUUGGUAGUUGAGUACGGUUUAAUUUUAUAAACAUGGAAUUAGUUUUGCAAUGGUGAAUUCGAAAUCCCUUGUCUCUUCCCUAUUCUUUCUACAUCAAUAUAUUAUUCACUACUACAUUCUUUUUGCAUUGGAAGUUAUUUUUCAUUUACAACACAAAAACUACUUUCAAAUUGUCACUUUCAUUUUUAGUUAGGGUUCUUUCAAAACUAGUAAUUUAUAGAGGUCGAAUCGGUCCCUGUGGUUCGACACCCUUACUUGUACCAUUAUACUAACCAUAUAUUGGCACUUGGAAGGAACACAACAGAGGAUUCACUUGGUGGGUUUUGAGUGAAAUCCAAUCUCUACAACUGUGCAAUAUACCAAGCACUCCAUUUCGUAACGAACUUCAUACGAACCUGAAUUGUCCAAUUUCAUGGACCAAUCGAUAUUGUAUUGAGUCCAGAACUUGGGGAACAUAAUAAUACUGUGGGAGGAGUCAUUUGGUGGGUUUUGAGUGAAAUCCAAUCUCUACAACUAUGCAAUACACCAACCACUCCAUUUCAUAACGAACUUCGUACGAACCUGAAUUGUCCAAUUUCAUGGACCAAUCGAUAUCGGAUUGAGUCCAAAACUUGGCGAACAUCAUAAUAUGAUAGGAGGAGUAUUUGAUGAAUUUUGAGUGAAAUCCAAUGGCAAAAACUAUGCAAUACACUAACCACUCCAUUUCAGAAUGAACUUCGUACGAACCUGAAUUGUCCAAUUUCGUGGACCAGUCGAUAUCGGAUUGAGUCCGAAACUUGGGGAACAUCAUAAUAUGAUGGGAGGAGUCAUUUGGUGCAUUUUGAGUGAAAUCCAAUGGCCAACACUAUGCAACACACCAACCACUCCAUUUCAUAACGAAUUUCGUACGAACCUGAAUUGUCCAAUUUGAUAGACAAAUCGAUCUCGAAUUGAGUCCAAAACUUGGGGCACAUCAUAAUAUGAUGGGAGGAGUCAUUUGGUGACUUUUGAGUGAAAUCCAAUGGCUACAACAUUGCAAUACACUAACCACUCCAUUUCAGAACGAACUUCGUACGAACCAGAAUUGUCCAAUUUCACGGACCAAUCGAUAUCGAAUUGAGUCCAAAACUUGGGGAACAUCGUAAUAUGGUGGGAGAAGUCAUUUGGUGGGUUUUGAGUGAAAUCCAAACUCUACAACUACGCAAUACACCAACCCCACCAUUUCAUAAUGAUAUUGGACAAACCUGAAUUGUCCAAUUUCAUGGACCAAUCAAUAUCAGAUUGAUGGAAAAACUUGGGAAACAUCAUAAUACGAUGGUUGGAGUCAUUUGGUGACUUUUGAGUGAAAUCCAAUGGCUAAAACUUUGCAGUACACUAACCACUCCAUUUUAGAACGAACUUCGUACGAACCUGAAUUGUCCAAUUUCAUGGACCAAUCGAUAUCGGAUUGAGUCCGAAACUUAGGGAACAUCGUAAGAUGAUGAGAGGAGUCAUUUGGUGCCUUUUCAGUGAAAUCCAAUGGCUAAAACUAUGCAAUACACCAACCACUCCAUUUCAUAACGAACUUCGUACGAGCAUGAAUUGUCCAAUUUCAUGGACCAAUCGAUAUCGGCUUAAGCCCAAAACUUGGGGAACAUCAUACUGCGGUGGGAGGAGUCAUUUGGAGGGUUUUGAGUGAAAUUCAAUCACUACAACUAUGCAGUACACCAACCACUCCAUUUCAUAACGAACUUCGUACGAACCUGAAUUGUCCAAUUUCAUGAACCAAUCGAUAUCGGAUUAAGUCCAAAACUUGGGGCACAUCAUAAUGUGAUGGGAGGAGUCAUUUGGUGACUUUUGAGUGAAAUCCAAUGGCUAAAGCUAUGCAAUACACUAACCACUCCAUUUCAGAACGAACUUCGUACGAACCUGAAUUGUCCAAUUUCAUGGACCAAUCGAUAUUGGAUUGAGUCCAAAACUUGGGGAACAUCAUAAUAUGGUGGGAGAAGUCAUUUGGCGGGUUUUGAGUGAAAUCCAAUCUGUACAACUAUGUAACACACCAACCACUCCAUUUCAUAACGAACUUCGUACGAACAUGAAUUGUCCAAUUUCAUAGACCAAUCGAUAUCGAAUUGAGUCCAAAACUUGGGGAACAUCAAAAUAUGGUGGGGAGAAGUCAUUUGGUGGGUUUUGAGUGAAAUCCAAUCUCUACAACUACGCAAUACACCAACCCCACCAUUUCAUAACGAUAUCGGACGAACCUGAAUUGUCCAAUUUCAUGGACCAAUCAAUAUCAGAUUGAUGGCAAAACUUGGGAAACAUCAUAAUAUGAUGGUUGGAGUCAUUUGGUGACUUUUGAGUGAAAUCCAAUGGCUAAAACUUUGCAGUACACUAACCACUCCAUUUUAGAACGAACUUCGUACGAACCUGAAUUGUCCAAUUUCAUGGACCAAUCGAUUUCGGAUUGAGUCCGAAACUUAGGGAACAUCGUAAGAUGAUGAGAGGAGUCCUUUGGUGCCUUUUCAGUGAAAUCCAAUGGCUAAAACUAUGCAAUACACCAACCACUCCAUUUCAUAACGAACUUCGUACGAGCAUGAAUUGUCCAAUUUCAUGGACCAAUCGAUAUCGGCUUAAGCCCAAAACUUGGGGAACAUCAUAAUACGGUGGGAGGAGUCAUUUGGAGGGUUUUGAGUGAAAUUCAAUCUCUACAACUAUGCAGUACACCAACCACUCCAUUUCAUAACGAACUUCCUACGAACCUGAAUUGUCCCAUUUCAUGGACCAAUCGAUAUCGGAUUAAGUCCAAAACUUGGGGCACAUCAUAAUGUGAUGGGAGGAGUCAUUUGGUGACUUUUGAGUGAAAUCCAAUGGCUAAAGCUAUGCAAUACACUAACCACUCCAUUUCAGAACGAACUUCGUACGAACUUGAAUUGUCCAAUUUCAUGGACCAAUCGAUUUUGGAUUGAGUCCAAAACUUGGGGAACAUCAUAAUACGGUGGGAGGAGUCAUUUGGUGGCUUUUGAGUGAAAUCGAAUCGCUACAACUAUUCAAUACACCUACCACUCCAUUUCAUAACGAACUUCGUACGAACCUGAAUUGUCCAAUUUCAUAGACCAAUCGAUAUCGGAUUGAGUCCAAAGCUUGGGGAACAUCAUAAUACGGUGGGAGGAGUCAUUUGGUGGCUUUUGAGUGAAAUCCAAUCUCUACAACUAUGCAAUAUUCCAACCACUCCAUUUCAUAACAAACUUCGUACGAACCAGAAUUGUCCAAUUCCUUGGACCAAUCGAUAUCGGAUUGAGUCCAAAACUUGGGGAACAUCAUAAUACGGUGGGAGGAGUCAUUUGGUGGGUUUUCAGUGAAAUCCAAUCUCUACAACUGUGCAAUACACCAAGCACUGCAUUUCAUAACGAACUUCAUACGAACCUGAGUUGUCCAAUUUCAUGGACCAAUCGAUAUUGGAUUGAGUCCAAAACUUGGGGAACGUCAUAAUAUGAUGGGAGGAGUCAUUUGGUGACUUUUGAGUGAAAUCCAAUGGCAAAAACAAUGCAAUACACUAACCACUCCAUUUCAGAAUGAACCUCGUACGAACCUGAAUUGUCCAAUUUCAUGGACCAGUCGAUAUCGGAUUGAGUCCGAAAGUUCGGAACAUCAUAAUAUGAAGGGAGGAGUCAUUUGGUGCCUUUUGAGUGAAAUCCAAUGGCCAAAACUAUGCAAUACACCGACCACUCCAUUUCAAAACGAACUACGUACGAACCUGAAUUGUCCAAUUUCAUGGACCAAUCCAUAUCGGAUUGAGGCCAAAACUUGGGGAACAUCAUAAUAUGAUGGUUGGAGUCAUUUGGUGACUUUUGAGUGAAAUCCAAUUUCUACAACUAUGUAAUACACCAACCACUCUAUUUCAUAAUGAACUUCGGACGAACCUGAAUUGUCCAAUUUCAUGGUCCAAUCGAUAUCGGAUUAAGUCCAAAACUUGGGGCACAUCAUAAUAUGAUGGGAGGAGUCAUUUGCUAACUUUCGAGUGAAAUCCAAUGGCUAAAACUAUGCAAUACACUAACCACUCCAUAUUAGAACGAACUUCGUACGAACCUGAAUUGUUCGAUUUCGUGGACCAAUCGAUAUCGGAUUGAGUCCGAAACUUGGGGAACAUCACAAUAUUGUGGGAGGAGUCAUUUGGUGCCUUUCGAGUGAAAUCCAAUGGCCAAACUAUGCAAUACACGAACCACUACAUUUCAUAACGAACUUCGUACGAACCUGAAUUGUCCAAUUUCAUGGACCAAUCGAUAUCGAUUGAGUCCAAAACUUGGGGAACAUCAUAAUAUGAUGGGAGGAGUCAUUUGGUGACUUUUGAGUGAAAUCCAAUGGCAAAAACUGUGCAAUAAACUAACCAUUCCAUUUCAGAUUGAACUUCGUACGAACUUGAAUUGUCCAAUUUCAUGGACCAGUCGAUAUCGGAUUGAGUCCGAAAGUCGGGGAACAUCAUAAUAUGAAGGGAGGAGUCAUCUGGUGCCUUUUGAGUGAAAUCCAAUGGCCAAAACAAUGCAAUACACCGACCACUCCAUUUCAUAACGAACUACGUACGAACCUGAAUUGUCCAAUUUCAUGGACCAAUCGAUAUCGAAUUGAGUCCAAAACUUGGGGCACAUCAUAAUAUGAUGGGAGGAGUCAUUUGCUGACUUUUGAGUGAAAUCCAAUGGCAAAAACUAUGUAAUACACCAACCACUCCAUUUCAUAACGAACUUCGGACGAACCUGAAUUGUCCAAUUUCAUGGACCAAUCGAUAUCGGACUGAGUCCAAAACUUGGGGCACAUCAUAAUAUGAUGGGAGGAGUCAUUUGCUGACUUUCGAGUGAAAUCCAAUGGCUAAAACUAUGCAAUACACUAACCACUCCAUUUCAGAACGAACUUCGUACUAACCUUAAUUGUUCGAUUUCGUGGACCAAUCGAUAUCGGAUUGAGUCCGAAACUUGGGGAACAUCGCAAUAUUAUGGGAGGAGUCAUUUGGUGCCUUUUGAGUGAAAUCCAAUGGUCAAAACUAUGCAAUACACCAACCACUACAUUUCAUAACGAACUUCGUACGAACCUGAAUUGUCCAAUUUCAUGGACCAAUCGAUAUCGAAUUGAGUCCAAAACUUGGGGCACAUCAUAAUAUGAUGGGAGGAGUCAUUUGCUGACUUUUGAGUGAAAUCCAAUGGCAAAAACUAUGCAAUACACUAACCACUCCAUUUCAGAACGAACUUCGUACGAACCUGAAUUGUCCAAUUUCAUGGACCAAUCGAUAUCGGAUUGAGUCCAAAACUUGGGGAACAUCAUAAUAUGAUGGGAGGAGUCAUUUGGUGACUUUUGAGUGAAAUCCAACGGCAAAAACUAUGCAAUACACUAACCAUUCCAUUUCAUAAUGAACUUCGUACGACCUGAAUUUUCCAAUUUCAUGGACUAGUCGAUAUCGGAUUGAGUCGGAAACUUCGGGAACAUCAUAAUAUGAUGGGAGGAGUCAUUUCGUGCCUUUUGAGUGAAAUCCAAUGGCCAAAACUAUGCAAUACACCGACCACUCCAUUUCAUAACGAACUACGUUCGAAUCUGAAUUGUCCAAUUUCUUGGACCAAUCGAUAUCGGAUUGAGUCCAAAACUUAGGGAACAUCAUAAUACGGUGGGAGGAGUCAUUUGGUGGGUUUUGAGUGAAAUCCAAUCUCUACAACUGUGCAAUACACCAAGCACUGCAUUUCAUAACGAACAUCAUACGAACCUGAAUUGUCCAAUUUCAUGGACCAAUCGAUAUUGGAUUGAGUCCAAAACUUGGGGAACGUUAUAAUAUGAUGGGUGGAGUCAUUUGGUGACUUUUGAGUGAAAUCCAAUGGCAAAAACUAUGCAAUACACUAACCACUCCAUUUCAGAAUGAACUUCGUACGAACCUGAAUUGUCCAAUUUCGUGGACCAGUCGAUAUCGGAUUGAGUCCGAAACUUGGGGAACAUCAUAAUAUGAUGGGAGGAGUCAUUUGGUGCAUUUUGAGUGAAUCCAACGGCCAACACUAUGCAACACACCAACCACUCAAUUUCAUAACGAACUUCGUACGAACCUGAAUUGUCCAAUUUGAUAGACAAAUCGAUAUCGAAUUGAGUCCAAAACUUGGGGCACAUCAUAGUAUGAUGGGAGGAGUCAUUUGGUGCCUUUUGAGUGAAAUCCAAUGGCAAAAACUGUGCAAUACACUAACCAUUCCAUUUCAGAAUGAACUUCGUACGAACCUGAAUUGUCCAAUUUCAUGGACCAGUCAAUAUCGGAUUGUGUCCGAAAGUCGGGGAACAUCAUAAUAUGAAGGGAGGAGUCAUCUGGUGCCUUUUGAGUGAAAUCCAAUGGCCAAAACUAUGCAAUACCCCAACCACUACAUUUCAUCACGAACUUCGUACGAACCUGAAUUGUCCAAUUUCAUGGACCAAUCGAUAUCGGAUUGAGUCCAAAACUUGGGGAACAUCAUAAUAUCAUGGGAGGAGUCAUUUGGUGACUUUUGAGUGAAAUCCAAUGGCAAAAACUAUGCAAUACACUAACCAUUCCAUUUCAUAAUGAACUUCGUACGACCUGAAUUUUCCAAUUUCAUGGACUAGUCGAUAUCGGAUUGAGUCCGAAACUUGGGGAACAUCAUAAUAUGAUGGGAGGAGUCAUUUCGUGCCUUUUGAGUGAAAUCCAAUGGCCAAAACUAUGCAAUCCACCAACCACUCCAUUUCAUAACGAACUUCGUACGAACCUGAAUUGUCCAAUUUCAUGGGCCAAUCGAUAUCGGAUUGAGGCCCAAACUUGGGGAACAUCAUAAUAUGAUGGUUGGAGUCAUUUGGUGACUUUUGAGUGAAAUCCAAUCUCUACAACUAUGCAAUACACCAACCACUCCAUUUCAUAACGAACUUCGGACGAACCUGAAUUGUCCAAUUUCAUGGACCAAUCGAUAUCGAAUUGAGUCCAAAACUUGGGGCACAUCAUAAUAUGAUGGGAGGAGUCAUUUGCUGACUUUUGAGUGAAAUCCAAUGGCAAAAACUAUGCAAUACACUAACCAUUCCAUUUCAGAACGAACUUCGUACGAACCUGAAUUGUCCAAUUUCGCGGACCAAUUGAUAUCGGAUUGAGUCCAAAACUUGGGGAGCAUCAUAAUACGGUGGGAGGAAUCAUUGGGUGGCUUUUGAUUGAAAUCCAAUCUCUACAACUAUGCAAUACACCCACCGCUCCAUUUCAUAACGAACUUCGUACGAACCUGAAUUGUUCAAUUUUAUGGACCAAUCGGUAUCGGAUUGAGUCCAAAACUUAGGGAUCAUCAUAAUACGGUGGGAGGAGUCAUUUGGUGGAUUUGAGUGAAAUCCAAUCUGUACAACUAUGUAACACACCAACCACUCCAUUUCAUAACGAACUUCGUACGAACAUGAAUUGUCCAAUUUCAUGGACCAAUCGAUAUCGGAUUGAGUCCAAAACUUGGGGAACAUCGUAAUACGGUGGGAGGAGUCAUUCUGGUGCCUUUGAGUGAAAUCCAAUCUCUACAACUGUGCAAUACACCAAGCACUCCAUUUCAUAACGAACUUCAUGCGAACCUGAAUUGUCCGAUUUCAUGGACCAAUCGAUAUUGGAUUGAGUCCAAAACUUGGGGAACAUCAUAAUAUGAUGGGUGGAGUCAUUUGGUGUCUUUUGAGUGAAAUCCUAUGGCUAAAACUAUGCAAUACACCAACCACUCUAUUUCAGAACGAACUUCGUUCGAACCUGAAUUGUCCAAUUUCAUGGACCAAUCGAUAUCGGAAUGAGUCCAAAACUUGGGGAACAUCAUAAUACGAUAGUUGGAGUCAUUUGGUGACUUUUGAGUGAAAUCCAAUCUCUACAACUAUGCAACACACCAACCACUCCAUUUCAUAACGAACUUCGUACGAACCUGAAUUGUCUAAUUUCACGGACCAAUCAAUAUCGGAUAGAGUCCAAAACUUGGGGAACAUCAUAAUACGGUGGGAGGAGUCAUUUGGCGGGUUUUGAGUGAAAUCCAAUCUCUGCAACUAUGCAAUACACCAACCACUCUAUUUCAUAACGAACUUCGUACGAACCUGAAUUGUUCAAUUUCAUGAACAAAUCGAUAUCGGAUUGAGUCCAAAACAUGGGGAACACCAUAAUAUGAUGGGAGGAGUCAUUUGGUGACUUUUGAGUGAAAUCCAAUGGCUAAAACUAUGCAAGACACUAACCACUCCAUUUUAGAAUGAACUUUGUAUGAACCUGAAUUGUCCAAUUUCAUGGACCAAUCGAUAUCGGAUUGAGUCCAAAACUUGGGGGGCAUAAUAAUACGGUGGGACGAGUCAUUUGGUGGGUUUUGAGUGAAAUCCAAUCUCUACAACUGUGCAAUACACCAACCACUCCAUUUCAGAACGAACUUCGUACGAACCUGAAUUGUCCAAUUUCUUGGACCAAUCGAUAUCGGAUUGAGUCCAAAACUUGGGGAACAUCGUAAUACGGUGGGAGGAGUCAUUUGGUGCCUUUUGAGUGAAAUCCAAUCUCUACAACUGUGCAAUAGACCAAGCACUCUAUUUCAUAACGAAAUUCAUGCGAACCUGAAUUGUCCGAUUUCAUGGACAAAACGAUAUUGGAUUGAGUCCAAAACUUGGGGAACAUCAUAAUAUGAUGGGAGGAGUCGUUUGGUGUCUUUUGAGUGAACUCCUAUGGCUAAAACUAUGCAAUACACCAACCACUCUAUUUCAGAACGAACUUCGUACGAACCUGAAUUGUCCAAUUUCUUGGACCAAUCGAUAUCGGAUUGAGUCCAAAACUUGAGGCACAUCAAAAUAUGAUGGGAGGAGUCAUUUGCUGACUUUUGAGUGAAAUCCAAUGGCAAAAACUAUGCAAUACACUAACCACUCCAUUUCAGAACGAACUUGGUAUGAACCUGAAUUGUCCAAUUUCGCAGACCAAUCGAUAUCGGAUUGAGGCCAAAACUUGGGGCACAUCAUAAUACGAUGGUUGGAGUCAUUUGGUCACUUUUGAGUGAAAUCCAAUCUCCACAACUAUGCAAUACACCAACCACCCCAUUUCAUAACGAACUUCGUACGGCCCUGAAUUGUCCAAUUUCAACGACCAAUCAAUAUCGGAUUGAGUCCAAAACUUGGGGAACAUCAUAAUACGGUGGGAGGAGUCAUUUCGCGGGUUUUGAGUGAAAUCCAAUCUCUGCAACUAUGGAAUACAGCAACCACUCCAUUUCAUAACGAACUUCGUACGAACCUGAAUUGUUCAAUUUCAUGAACCAAUCGAUAUCGGAUUGAGUCCAAAACAUGGGGAACACCAUAAUAUGAUGGGAGGAGUCAUUUGGUGACUUUUGAGUGAAAUCCAAUGGCUAAAUCUAUGCAAGACACUAACCACUCCAUUUCAGAACGAACUUUGUAUGAACCUGAAUUGUCCAAUUUCAUGGACUAAUCGAUAUUGGAUUGAGUCCAAAACUUGGGGAGCAUGAUCAUACGGUGGGAGGAGUCAUUUGGUGACUUUUGAGUGAAAUCCAAUCUCUACAACUAUGCAAUACUCCAACCACUCCAUUUCAUAACGAACUUCGUACGAACCCGAAUUGUCCAAUUUCAUUGACCAAUCGAUAUCGGAUUGAGUCCAAAACUUGGGGAGCAUAAUAAUACGGUGGGACGAGUCAUUUGGUGGGUUUUGAGUGAAAUCCAAUCUCUACAACUGUGCAAUACACCAACCACUCCAUUUCGUAACGAACUUCGUCCGAACCUGAAUUGUCCAAUUUCACGGACCAAUCAAUAUUGGAUUGAGUCCAAACCUUGGGGAACAUCAUAAUACGGUGGGUGGAGUCAUUUGGCUGGUUUCGAGUGAAAUCCAAUCUCUGCAACUACGCAAUACACCAACCACUACAUUUCAAAACGAACUUCGGACGAACCUGAAUUGUCCAAUUUCGCGGACCAAUCGAUAUCGGAUUGAGUCCAAAACAUGGAUAACAUCAUAAUAUGAUGGGAGGACUCAUUUGGUAACUUUUGAGUGAAAUCCUAUGUCUAAAACUAUGCAAUACACCAACCACUCUAUUACAGAACGAACUUCGUACGAACCUGAAUUGUCCAAUUUAAUAGACCAAUCGAUAUCGGAUUGAGUCCAAAACUUGGGGAACAUCAUAAUAUGAUGGGAGGUGUCAUUUGGUAGCUUUUGAGUGAAAUUCAAUCUCUACAACUAUGCAAUACACUAACCUCUCCAUUUAAGAACGAACUUCGUACUAGCCUGAAUUGUCCAAUUUCAUGGACCAAUCGAUAUCAGAUUGAGUCCAAAACUUGGGGAACAUCAUAAUACGGUGGGAGGAGUCAUUUGGUGACUUUUGAGUGAACUCCUAUGGCCAAAACUAUGCAAUACACCAACCACUCUAUUUUAGAACGAACUUCGUACAAACCUGAAUUUUCCAAUUUCAUGGACCAAUCGAUAUCGGAUUGAGUCCAAAACUUGGGGAACAUCAGCAUACAGUGGGAGGAGUCAUUUGGUGUCUUUUGAGUGAACUCCUAUGGCUAAAACUUUGCAAUACAUAAACCACACUACUUCAGAACAAACUUCGUACGAACCUGGAUUUUCCAAUUCCAUGUACCAAUCGAUAUCGGAUUCAGUCCAAAACUUGGGGAACAUCAUAAUAUGAUGGGAGGAGUCAUUUGGGGACUUUUGAGUGAAAUCCAAUGGCUAAAACUUUGAAAUACGCAAACCAUUCCAUUUCAGAACUAACUUUGUAAGAACCUGAAUUAUAUAAUUUCAUGGACCAACCGAUAUCGGAUUGAGUCCAAAACUUGGGGAACAUCAUAAUAUGGUAGGAGGAGUCAUUUGGUGGCUUUUGAGUUAAAUCCAAUCUCUACAACUAUGCAAUACACAAACCACUCCAUUUCAGAACGAACUUCGUACGAACCUGAAUUGUCCAAUUUAAUGGACCAAUCGAUAUCGGAUUAAGUACAAAACCUGGGGAACAUCAUAAUACAGUGGGAGUUGUCAUUUGGUGGAUUUUGAGUAAAAUUCAAUCUCUACAACUAUGCAAUACACCAACCACUCCAUUUCAUGAUGAACUUCGUACGAACCCGAAUUGUCCAAUUUCAUGGACCAAUCGAACUAUGAUUGAGUCCAAAACUUGGGGAACAUCAUAAUAUGAUGGGAGGAGUCAUUUGGUGACUUUUGAGUGAAAUUCAAUGGCUAAAACUAUGCAAUACACUAACCACUCCAUUUUAGAGCGAACUUCGUACAAGCCUGAAUUGUCCAAUUUCAUGGACCAAUCGAUAUCGGAUUGACUCCAAAACUUGGGGCACAUCAUAAUAUGAUGGGAGGAGUCAUUUGCUGACUAUUGAGUGAAAUCCAAUGGCUAGAACUAUUCAAUACACUAACCACUCCAUUUCAGAACGAACUUCGUACGAACCUGAAUUGUCCGAUUUCGUGGACCAAUCGAUAUCGGAUUGAGUCCGAAACUUGGGGAACAUCAUAAUAUUAUGAGAGGAGUCAUUCGGUGCAUUUUGAGUGAAAUCCAAUCUCCAAAACUGUGCAAUACACCAACCACUCCAUUUCGUAACGAACUUCGUAUGAACCUGAAUUGGCCAAUUUCAUAGACCAAUCGAUAUCGGACUGAGUCCAAAACUUGGGGCACAUCAUAAUAUGAUGGGAGGAGUCAUUUGGUGCCUUUUGAGUGAAAUCCAAUGGCGAAAAUUAUGCAAUACACCAACCACUCCAUUUCAUAACGAACUUCGUACGAACCUGAAUUGGCCAAUUUCAUGGCCCAAUUGAUAUCGGAUUGUGGCCAAAACUUGGGGAACGUCAUAAUAUGAUGGUUGGAGGCAUUUGGUGACUUUUGAGUGAAAUCCAAUCCCUACAACUAUGCAAUACACCAACCACUCCAUUUCUUGGCGAACUUCGUACGAACCUGAAUUGUCCAAUUUCAUGGACCAAUCGACAUCAGAUUGAACCCAAAAUUUGGGGAACAUCAUAUUAUGAUUGUUGGAGUCAUUUGGUGACUUUUGAGUGGAAUCCAAUGGCUAAAACUGUGCAAUACACUAACCACUCCGUUUCAGAACGAAGUUCGUACAAACCGGAAUUGUCCAAUUUCAUGGACCAAUCGAUAUAGGAUAGAGUCCAAACCGUGGGGAACAUCAUAAUACGGUGGGAGGAGUCAUUUGGUGGGUUUUGGUUGAAAUCCAAUCUCUACAAGUAUGCAAUAUACCAACCACUCCAUUUCAUGACGAACUUCGUACGAACUUCAAUUGUCCAAUUUCAUGGACCCAUCGAUAUCGGAUUGAGUCCCAAACCUGAGGAGCAUAAUAAUAUAAUGGGAGGAGUGAUUUGGUGACUUUUGAGUGAAAUCCAAAGACUAAAACGAUGCAUUACACUAACCACUCUAUUUAAGAGCGAACUUCGUACGAGCCUGGAUUGUCCAAUUUCAUGGACCAAUUGAUAUCGGAUUGACUCCAAAACUUGGGGAACAUCAUAAUACGGUGGGAGGAGUCAUUUGGUGGGUUUUGUGUGAAAUCCAAUCUCUAAAACUAUGCAAUACACCAACCGCUCCAUUUCAUAACGAACUUCGUACGUACCUGAAUUGUCCAAUUUCAUGGACCAAUCGAUAUCGGAUUGAGUCCAAAACUUGUGGAACAUCAUAAUAUGAUGCGAGGAGUCAUUUGGUGGCUUUUGAGUGAAAUCCAAUGGCUAAAACGAUGCAAUACACCAACCACUCCAUUUCAGAACGAACUUCGUACGAAGUUGAAAUUGUUCAAUUUCGUGGACCAAUCGAUAUCGGAUUUAGUCCAAAACUUGGGGAACGUCCUAAUACGGUGGGAGGAUUCAUUUGGUGUCUUUUGAGUGAAAUUCAAUGGCUAAAACUAUGCAAUACACCAACCACUCCAUUUCAUAAUGAACUUCGUACGAACCUGAAUUGUCCAAUUUGAUGGACCAAUUGAUAUCGGAUUGAGUCCAAUCCUUAGGGAACACCAUAAUACAGUGGGAGGAGUCAUUUGGUAUGUUUUGACUGAAAUCCAAUGGUUAAAACUAUUCAAUACACCAACCACUCCAUUUCAGAACUAACUUCGUACGAACCUGAAUUGUCCAAUUUCAUGGACCAACUGAUAUCGGAUUGAGUCCAAAACUUGGAGACAUCAUAAUACGGUUGGAGGAGUCAUUUGGUGGGUUUUGAGUGAAAUUCAAUCUCUACAACUAUGCAAUACACCAACCACUCCAUUUCAUAACGAACUUCGUAUGAACCUGAAUUGUCCAAUUUUCACGGACGAAUCGAUAUAGGAUUGAGUCCAAAAAUUGGGGAACAACAUAAUAUGAUGGUUGGAGUCAUUUGGUGACUUUUGAGUGAAAUCCAAGGGCUAAAACUAUGCACUACACUAACCACUCCAUUUGAGAACGAACUUUGAACGAACCUGAAUUGUCCAAUUUCAUGGACCAAUCGAUAUCGGAUAGAGUCCAAACCCUAGGGAACAUCAUAAUACGAUGGGAGGAGUCAUUUGGUUGCUUUUGAUUGAAAUCCAAACUCUACAACUAUGCAAUACACCAACGACUCUAUUUCAUGACGAACUUCGUACGAACCUCAAUUGUCCAAUUUCAUGGACCAAUCGAUAUCGGAUUGAGUCCAAAACUUGGGGAACAUCAGAAUACGGUGGGAGGAGUCAUUUGGUGGCUUUUGCGUGAAUUCCAAUGGGAAAAACUAUGCAAUACACCAACCACUCCAUUUUAGAACGAACUUCGUACGAACCUGUAUUGUCCAAUUUCAGGGACCAAUCGAUAUCGGAUUGAGUCCAAAACUCGGGGAACAUCAUAAUACGGUGGGAGGAGUCAUUUGGUGGCUUUUGAGUGAAAUCCAAUCACUACAACAAUGCAAUACCCCAAGUACUCCAUUUCAUAACGAACUUCGUACAAACCUGAAUUGUGCAAUUUCAUGGAUCAAUCGAUAUCGGUUUGAGUCCAAAACAAGGGGAACAUCAUAAUAUGACGGGAGGAGUCAUUUGGUGUCUUUUGAGUGAACUCCUAUGGCUAAAACUAUGCAAUACACCAACCACUCCAUUUCAGAAUGAACUUCGUACGAACUUGAAUUGUCCAAUUUCAUGGACCAAUCGAUAUCGGAUAGAGUCCAAACCGUGGGGAACAUCAUAAUACGGUGGGAGGAGUCAUUUGGUGGGUUUUGAUUGAAAUCCAAUCUCUACAACUAUGCAAUACACCAACCACACCAUUUCAUGACAAACUUCGUACGAACCUGAAUUGUCCAAUUUCAUAGACCAAUCGAUAUUGGAUUGAGUCCAAAACUUGGGGAACAUCAUAAUAUGAUGGGAGGAGUCAUUUUGUGACUUUUGAGUGAAAUCCAAUGGCUAAAACGAUGCAAUAUACUAACCACUCCAUUUUAGAGCGAACUUCGUACGAGCCUGAAUUGUCCAAUUUCAUGGACCAAUCGAUAUCGGAUUGACUCCAAAACUUGGGGAACAUCAUAAUAUGAUGGGUGGAUUCAUUUGAUGACUUUUGAGUGAAAUCCAGUGGCUAAAACUUUGAAAUGCAAAAACCAACCCAUUUCAGAACGAACUUCGAAUGAACAUGAAUUGUCCAAUAUCAUGGACCAAUCGAUAUCGGAUUGAGUACAAAACUUGGGGAACAUCAUACUACGGUGGGAGUUGUCAUUUGGUGGAUUUUGAGUGAAAUCCAAUCUCUACAACUAUGCAAUACACCAACCACUCCAUUUCAUGACGAACUUCGUACGAACUUGAAUUGUCCAAUUUCGUGGACCAAUCGAUAUCGGAUUGAAUCCAAAACUUGGGGAUCGUUCAUCAUACGGUGGGAGGAGUCUUUUGGUGGGUUUUGAGUGAAAUCAAAUAUCUAGAACUAUGCAAUACACCAACCACUCUAUUUCAUAACGAACUUCUUACGAACCUGAAUUGUCCAAUUUCAUGGACCAAUCGAUAUCGGAUUGAGUCCAAAUCUUGGGGAACAUCAUAAUACGGUGGGAGGAGUCAUUUGGUGUCUUUUCAGUGAAAUCCAACGGCUAAAACUAUUCAAUACACCAACCACUCCAUUUCAGAACGAACUUCAUACGAACCUAAAUUGUCCAAUUUCGUGGACCAAUCGAUAUCGGAUUGACUCCAAAACUUGGGGAACGUCCUAAUACAGUGGGAGGCAUCAUUUGGUGUCUUCUGAGUGAAAUCGAAUGGCUAAAAAUAUGCAAUACAGCAGCCACUCUAUUUCAGAACGAACUUCGUACGAAUUUGAAUUGUCCAAUUUCAUGGACCAAUCGAUAUCGGAUUGAGUGCAAAACGUGGGGAGCAUCAUACUAUGGUGGGUGGAGUCAUUUGGUGGCUUUUGAGUGAAAUCCAAUGGGAAAAAAGUAUGCAAUACACCAACCACUCCAUUGCAUAACGAACUUCGUACGAACCUGUAUUGUCCAAUUUCAUGGACCUAUCGAUAUCGGAUUUAGUCCAAAACUUGGGGAUGAUCAUAAUAUGGUGGGAGGAGUCAUUUCGUGGGUUUUGAGUGAAAUCCAAUCUCUACAACUAUGCAAUACACCAACCACCCUAUUUCGUAAUGAACUUCAUGCGAACCUGAAUUGUCCAAUUUCAUGGACCAAUCGAUAUCGGAUUGAGUCCAAAACUUGGGGAACAUCAUAAUAUGAUGGCAGGAGUCAUUUGGUGACUUUUGAGUGAAAUCCAAUGGCUAAAACUAUGCAAUACACUAACCACUCCAUUUCAUAACGAACUUCCUACGAACCUGAAUUGUGCAAUUUCAUGGACCAAUCGAUAUCGGAUAGAUUCCAAAAGUUAAGGAACAUCAUAAGACAUUGGGAGGAGUCAUUUGGUGCCUUUUGACUAAAAUCCAAUGGCAAAAACUAUGCAAUACACCAACCACUUCAUUUCGUAACGAACUUCAUACGAACCUGAAUUGCCCAAUUUCGUGGACCAAUCGAUAUCGGAUUGACUCCAAAACUUGGGGAACGUCCUAAUACAGUGGGAGGCGUCAUUUGGUGUCUUUUGAGUGAAAUCCAAUGGCUAAAACUAUGCAAUACAGCAGCCACUCCAUUUCAGAAUAAACUUCGUACGAACUUGAAUUGUCCAAUUUCAAGGACCAAUCGAUAUCGGAUUGAGUCCAAAACGUGGGGAGCAUCAUACUAUGAUGGGUGGAGUCAUUUGGUGGCUUUUGAGUGAAAUUCAAUGGGAAAAAAGUAUGCAAUACACCAACCACUCCAUUGCAUGACGAACUUCGUACGAACCUGUAUUGUCCAAUUUCAUGGACCAAUCGAUAUCGGAUUUAGUCCAAAACUUGGGGAUCAUCAUAAUAAGGUGGGAGGAGUCAUUUCGUUGGUUUUGAGUGAAAUCCAAUCUCUACAACUAUGCAAUACACCAACCACCCUAUUUCGUAAUGAACUUCGUGCGAACCUGAAUUGUCUAAUUUCAUGGACCAAUCGAUAUCGGAUUGAGUCCAAAACUUGGGGAACAUCAUAAUACAAUGGGAGAAGUCAUUUGGUGACUUUUGAGUGAAAUCCAAUGGCUAAAAUUGUGCAAUACACUAACCACUCCAUUUCAGAACGAAUUUCCUACGAACCUGAAUUGUCCAAUUUCAUGGACCAAUCGAUAUCGGAUUGAGUCCAAAACUUAAGGAACAUCAUAAGACGGUGAGAGGAGUCAUUUGGUGGGUGUUGAGUGAAAUCCAAUCUCUACAACUAUGCAAUACACCAACCACUCCAUUUCAUAACGAACUUCGUACGAACCUGAAUUGUCCAAUUUGUUGGACCAAUCUAUAUCGGAUUAAGCCCAAAACUUGGGGAUCAUCAUCAUACGGUGGGAGGAGUCAUUUGGUGGAUUUUGAGUGAAAUCCAAUAUCUAGAACUAUGCAAUACACCAACCACUCCAUUUCAUAAUGAACUUCGUACAAACCUGAAUUGUCCAAUUUCAUGGACCAAUCGAUAUCGGAUUGAGUCCAAAACUUGGGGAACGUCCUAAUACAGUGGGAGGAGUCAUUUGGUGUCUUUUGAGUGAAAUCCUACGGCUAAAACUAUGCAACAAACCAACCACUUCAUUGCAGAACGAACUUCGUACGAACCUAAAUUGUCCAAUUUCGUGGACCAAUCGAUAUCGGAUUGAGUCCAAAACUUGGGGAACGUCAUAAUAUGAUGGGAGAAGUCAUUUGUUGACUUUUGAGUGAAAUCCAAUGGCUAAAACUAUGCAAUACACUAACCACUCCAUUUCAGAACGAACUUCGUACUUACUUGAAUUGUCCAAUUUCAAGGACCAAUCGAUAUCGGAUUGAGUACGAAAGUUGGGGAACAUCAAAAUACGGUGGGAGGAGUCAUUUGGCGGGUUUUGCGUGAAAUCCAAUCUCUACAACUAGUAAUACUCCAACCACUCCAAUUCAUAAUGAACUUCUUACGAACCUGAAUUGUCCAAUUUCAUGGACCAAUCGAUAUCAGAUUGAGUCCAAAGCUUGGGGAACAUCAUAAUACGGUGGGAGGAGUCAUUUGGUGUCUUUUGACUGAAAUCCAAUGGCUAAAACUAUGCAAUACACCAACCACUCCAUUUCAGAACGAACUUCGUACGAACCUGAAUUGUCCACUUUUAAGGACCAAUCGAUAUCGGAUUGAGUCCAAAACUUUGGGAACAUCAUAAUACUGUGGGAGGAUUCAUUUGGUUCGUUUUGAGUGAAAUCCAAGCUCUACAACUAUGCAAUACACCAACAACUCCAUUUCAGAACGAACUUCGUACCAACCUAAAUUGUCCAAUUCCAUGGACCAAUCGAUAUCAGAUUGAGUCCAAAACUUAGGGAACAUCAUAAUACGGUGGGAGGAGUCAUUUGGUGGGUUUUGAGUGAAAUCCAAUCUCUACAACUAUGCAACACACCAACCACUCCAUUGCAUAACGAACUUCGUACGAACCAGAAUUGUCCAAUUUCAUGGACCAAUCCAUAUCGGAUUGAGUCCAAAACUUGGGGAACAUAAUAAUAUGAUGGGAGGAGUCAUGUGGUGUCCUUUGACUGAAAUCCAAUGGCUAAAACUAUGCAAUACACCAACCACUCUAUUUCAGAACGAACUUCGUACGAACCUGAAUUGUCCAAUUUCAAGGACCAAUCGAUAUCGGAGUGAGUGUAAAACUUAGGGAACAUCGUAAAAUGGUGGGAGGAGUCGUUUGGUGGGUUUUGAGUGAAACAAAAUCUCUACAACCAUGCAAUACACCAACCACCCUAUUGACCAAUCGAUAUUGGAUUGUGUCCAAAACUUGGGGAACAUCAUAAUAUGGUGGGAGGAGUCAUUUGGUGACUUUUGAGUGAAAUCUAACGGCUAAAACUAUGCAAUACACGAACGACUCCAUUUCAGAACGAACUUCGUAUGAAUUUGAAUUGUCCAAUUUUAAGGACCAAUCGAUAUCAGAUUAAUUCCAAAACUGCGGGACAUCAUAAUAUAUGGUGGGAGAAGUCAUUUGGUGACUUUUGAGUGAAAUCCAAUGGCUAAAACUACGCAAUACACCGACCAAUCCAUUUCGUAACGAACUUCAUACGAACCUGGAUUCACCAAUUUCAUGGAACAAUCGACAUCGAAUUGAGUCUAGAACUUGGGGAACGUCCUAACACGGCGGGAGGAGUCAUUUGGUGUCUUUUGAGUGAAAUUCAAUGGCUAAAACUAUGCAAUACACCAACCACUCCAUUUCAUAAUGAACUUCGUACGAACCUGAAUUGUCCAAUUUGAUGGACCAAUCGAUAUCGGAUUGAGUCCAGAAGUUGGGGAACGUCCUAAUACGGUGGGAGGAGUCAUUUGGUGUCUUUUGAGGGAAAUCCAAUUUCUAAAACUGUGCAAUACACCAACCACUCCAUUUCAUAAUGAACUUCGUACGAACCUGAAUUGUCCAAUUUGAUGGACCAAUCGAUAUCGAAUUAAGUCCAAACCUUGGGGAACAUCAUAAUACAGUGGGAGGAGUCAUUUGGUAUCUUUUGACUGAAAUCCAAUGGCUAAAACUGUGCAAUACACCAACCAAUCCAUUUCAGAAUGAACUUCUUACGAACCUGAACUAUCCAAUUUCAUGGACCAAUCGAUAACGGAUUGAGUCCAAAACUUGGGGAACAUCAUAAUACGGUGGGAGGAGUCAUUUGGUUGGGUUUGAGUGAAAUCCAAUCUCUAAAACUAUGCAAUACACCAACCACUCCAUUUCAGAACGAACUUCGUACGAACUUGAAUUGUCCAAUUUCAUGGACCAAUCGAUAUCGGAUUGAGUCCAAAACGUGGGGAGCAUCAUACUAUGGUGGGUGGAGUCAUUUGGUGGCUUUUGAGUGAAAUCCAAUGGGAAAAAAGUAUGCAAUACACCAACCACUCCAUUGCAUAACGAACUUCGUACUGUCCAAUUUGAUGGACCAAUCGAUAUCGGAUUUAGUCCAAAACUUGGGGAUCAUCAUAAUACGGUGGGAGGAGUCAUUUGGUGACUUUUGAGUGAAAUCCACUGGCUAAAACUAUGCAAUACACCAACCACCCUAUUUUGAAACGAACUUCGUGCGAACCUGAAUUGUCCAAUUUCAUGGACCAAUCGAUAUCGGAUUGAGUCCAAAAGUUGGGGAACAUCAUAAUACGAUGGGAGGAGUCAUUUGGUGACUUUUGAGUGAAAUCCAAUGGCUAAAGCUAUGCAAUACACUAACCACUCCAUUUCAUAACGAACUUCCUACGAACUUGAAUUGUGCAAUUUCAUGGACCAAUCGAUAUCGGAUAGAUUCCAAAAGUUAAGGAACAUCAUAAGACAGUGGGAGGAGUCAUUUGGUGGGUUUUGAGUGAAAUCCAAUGACAGGACCCGAAUUAAAUUCCGCUUUGGAAUUUGAGUCGAACCCUGUGCGUGUCCGACACUUGGCAAAUGUCGAGCACGAAAGACCUAUUUGCCCUUUUUCUUAAAAUUUUGACUUGGACUUCGAAAAAUUUCGGCAGAGUCUCCCCUAAAUUUCGUUCAAUCCAAAACUUACACUUGUCAUAACGAGCAUAAUCAUCCAAACAACCAACAGCCAGCACUUCAAUAAACAUGCUAAAAGUUCCAUUCUCACUCUAGGGCAAUAUAUCAGAGCAAUUUUGAUAGCUUACGGAUUACUUAAUUGGUUUGCAUACCAACAUUUUUGAACUAGAAGGCGCGGAAGUCACGAUGGCCUGGUGGUGGGUGUCUUGUGCACGCUACAGCCUGGGGCCGCAAAACAGUUGAAAGUGUGAGUGGACCAAAAAUAAAGGUUCAUAAAAUAUCUAAGAAUAUACUAACCCCCGAUGUAAAAAUAAGGAAAUAAAUUCAAACACGUAUUCUGCAUUUAAAGCAUACUAAACUCAAGGCAUUAUAUGUAAAUCAUAUUCGAACUCGAUACUUCUCGCAUAAAAACAAUGAAAUCAACUACAGUUGAGUAAAACUGAAUAUCUAAACUAUCUUGGAAACAUAUGAAAGUCAACGCAGUUACAUAUUUAUAGAAAUAUAUGCAAUCGCUUUCAAGAGCAAUAAAACUUGCAUGAAAGCAUUGAAAUCCAAUUUGGAUAAAAGUGCUGAAAUCAAACCUGCAAUAAAGCAAUGUACUCAAAACUUGAAUUAAAGCACUGCAAUUAAUCAAAACUACCACUCGGAUGUACCCCUGUAAUUCCGUCAAUUUCCCUGGCAGGUCUCGGCGACACACAGUCUAUCCGAGCAGCAAAUCCUGGCAGGAUACAGGGGACUAUAGUUAGCCUGAUCCGCUGGCAGGUCUCGGUGACACAAAGUCAACUCGAGCUGCUCUGGCAGGAUUCAGGGGACCGUAGUCAGCCUGAUUCGCAAUCCUGGCAGGUCUCGGGGACACGAAGUCAGCCGAGCCACAAAUCCUGGCAGGUCUCGGGACACCAAGUCUGCCGAGCCGCAAAUCUUGGCAGGUCUCGGGACACCAAGUCUGCCGAGCCACAAAUCCUGGCACUCACGGUCCGAGCGUCCCCGAAACUCGUGAGGCAAUGUCAAGUGCACUGACAGAGCUGUAAAUAGACUGGAUGUCCGUAGACAUCGGUCCAUCUGAGGGUAAUCACCAUAACUGGGUACACACGGUGGUUAAAAAUAAAUAUUUUAGAAAAAUCUGAUAAAUCACUGUAUUUGGCAAGUCUGAAACUAAGCUGCUAUUUUCUCUGAUAUAAAUCUCAACUCUGCUUUCUGUCACUUUCUACCAUGUUCAACUAAGCAGCAUAGAAAUAAAGAUAUUUGACGGCACAAAUCAUGCUCGGAAAACAUUUGGUAAAACUUAUUCAAAAUCAAAUAAUGAAAUUUACUCAUAUAAACUCAUUUAUAAAAACUUAUUUAUAUAAAAUCAAUAUAAAAUCAUUUAUGUAAACUCAUUUAUAUAAAGCAUUUAUAUAACUCAUUUAUAUAAAAUCUUUUAUGAAAGAAAGUCCACUCACUCCUGGUCCGAGCUCGCUAGACCUCCUGACGGUCUCUCUUGCGGGCCUGUCUGGUCCCGGGUGCCUGGGUAAACCAUCAUGCAUGUUUGAUUAAUAAAACUGCUCGGUAACUUUUUAAGUAAAACUCUGACCCCCGACUUCUAGAAGUGCGUGCACUAACUUUAAAGUCAUUUUCCUGCCCACUUAGGUAUUUCAGGUAUUUACAAUCGUCUGAAAAGACUCAAGACUUCAUUAAGCGAUAAACUUCCACCUUGGUCGAGGCGGAACCCCGUGGGGUCCACGACCUCCAAUGACCAAUCUGAGAGUUCCUUUAAGUUCCUCACGUUUAAGGAACCAUAUCCUGCAAGUUUGUCUGAAACUGACGAUCGGAUUGAGAACGAUCGUGAAAUCAUAAAAUUUCCAAACCCUAGCCUCAGGGUUCGCGAUUUCGGAGUAUCCGGGACUCCGAUUCACGAUCCGUCGAAUCCUACACGAUUCUGAAAUUAUAUGGAACAACAUAUCCGAAAUUGAGCGCGAUCCAACGGUUCGGCAAUAUUGAACCCGAAAAUCGCACAAUAUGGAAAAUCUAUUCGGGGCUCAAACGGAAUCCAAAUUGAGAUCCGCGAAAUCCUAUGCGCUCGUGAUAACAUAAGGAUCGCAACAAGACACAGUGCCACUGCACUACCCUCACCCACGCGCCCCAGCACGCGCCGGCAGCGAUGGGUGUCUAAAGCGAUUUCGGCUCGCCGGAAAAACUUCAAAUCACGGCUCCAAACUCCUACCCUAGGUAAAACACCAUAUUUGGAGCCACUUUUGUUCUUGGACCUACCCUAAAAAGUGGCCGGAAGUGGCCGAACACACCAACCACUCCAUUAAGAACGAACUUCGUACGAACCUGAAUUGUCCAAUUUCAUGGACCAAUCGAUAUCCGAUUGAGUCCAAACCUUGGGGAAUGUCAUAAUACAGUGGGAGGAGUCAUUUGGUGUCUUUUGACUGAAAUCCAAUGGCUAAAACUAUGCAAUACACCAACCACUCCAUUUCAUAACGAACUUCGUACGAACCUGAAUUGUCCAAUUUCAUGGACCAAUCGAUAUCGGAUUGAGUCCAAACCUUGGGGAAUGUCAUAAUACGGUGGGCGGAGUCAUUUGGUGUCUUUUGACUGAAAUCCAGUGGCUAAAACUAUGCAAUAAACCAACCACUCCAUUUCAGAAAGAACUUCGUACGAACCUGAACUGUCCAAUUUCAUGGACCAAUCGAUAUCGAACUAAGUCCAAAACUUGGGAAACAUCAUAAUACGGUGGGAGGAGUCAUUUGGUGGGUUUUGAGUGAAAUCCAAUCAGUAAAACUAUGCAAUACACCAACCGCUCCAUUUCAGAAAGAACUUCGUACGAACCUGAAUUGUCCAAUUUCAUGGACCAAUCGAUAUCGGAUUGAGUCAAAAACUUGGGAAACAACAUAAUUCGAUGGGAGGAGUCAUUUGGGGUCUUUUGACUGAAAUCCAAUGGCUAAAACUAUGCAAUACACCAACCACUCCAUUUCAUAACGAACUUCGGACGAACCUGAAUUGUCCAAUUUCAUGGACCAAUUGAUAUCGGAUUGACUCCAAAACCUGGCGAACGUCCUAAUACGGUGGGAGGAGUCAUUUGGGGUCUUUUGACUGAAAUCCAAUGGCUAAAACUAUGCAAUACACCAACCACUCCAUUUCAUAACGAACUUCGUACGAACCUGAAUUGUCCAAUUUCAUGGACCAAUCGAUAUCGGAUUGUGUCCGAAACUUAGGGAACAUCAUAAUAUGAUGGGAGGAGUCAUUUGGUUCCUUUUGAGUGAAAUACAGUUGCUAAAACUAUGCAAUACACUAACCACUCAAUUUCAUGGACCAAUCGAUAUCGGAUUGUCCAAUUUCAUGCACCAAUCGAUAUCGGAUUGACUCCAAAACUUUGGGAACGUCCUAAUACGGUUGGAGGCGUCAUUUGGUGUCUUUUGAGCGAAAUCCAAUGGCUAAAACUAUGCAAUACAGCAACCACUCCAUUUCAAAACAAACAUCGUUCGAACUUGAAUUGUCCAAUUUCAUGGACCAAUCGAUAUCGGAUUGAGUCCAAAACGUGGGGAGCAUCCUACUAUGGUGGGUGGAGUCAUUUGGUGGCUUUUGAGUGAAAUCCAAUGGGAAAAAAGUAUGUAAUACACCAACCACUCCAUUUGAUAACGAACUUCGUACGAACCUGUGCUGUCCAAUUUGUUGGAGCAAUCGAUAUCGGAUUUAGUCCAAAACUUGGGGAUCAUCAUAAUACGGUGGGAUGAGUCAUUUCGUGAGUUUUGAGUGAAUUCCAAUCUCUCCAACUAUGCAAUACACCAACCACCCUAUUUCAUAACGAACUUCGUGCGAACCUGAAUUGUCCAAUUUCAUGGACCAAUCGAUAUCGGAUUGAGUCCAAAACUUGGGGAACAUCAUAAUACGAUGGGAGGAGUCAUUUGGUGACUUUUGAGUGAAAUCCAAUGGCAAAAACUAUGCAGUACACCAACCACUCUAUUUCAGAACGAACUUCGUACGAACCUGAAUUGUCCAAUUUCAUGGACCAAUCAAUAUCGGAUUGAGUCCAAAACUUGGGGAACAUCAUAAUACGAUGGCAGGAGUCAUUUGAUCACUUUUGAGUGAAAUCCAAUGGCUAAAACUAUGCAAUACACUAAACACGCCAUUUCAGAACGAACUUCCUACGAACCUGAAGUGUCCAAUUUCAUGGACCAAUCGAUAUCGGAUUGAGUCCAAAACUUGGGGAAUAUCAGAAUACGGUGGGAGGAGUCAUUUGGAGGGUUUUGAGUGAAAUCCAAUCUCUACAACGAUGCAAUACACCAACCACUCCAUUUCAUGACGAACUACGUACGAACCUGAAUUGUCCAAUUUCACGGACCAAUCGAUAUCGGAUUGAGUCCAAAAAUUAGGGAACAACAUAAUAUGAUGGUUGGAGUCAUUUGGUGACUUUUGGGUGAAAUCCAAUGGCUAAAACUAUGCAAUACACUAAACACUUCAUUUCAGAACGAACUUCGUACGAACCUGAAUUGUCCAAUUUCAUGGACCAAUCGAUAUCGGAUAGAAACCAAACCCUGGGGAACAUGAUAAUACGGUGGGAGGAGUCAAUUGGUGGGUUUUGAUUGAAAUCCAAUCUCUACAACUAUGCAAUACACCAACCACUCCAUUUGAGGGCGAACUUCGUACGAAGCUGAAUUGUCCAAUUUCAUGAACCAAUCGAUAUCGGAUUGAGUCCAAAACUUGGGGAACAUCAUACUACAGUGGGAGGAAUCACUUGGUGGGUUUUGAGUGAAAUCCAAUCUCUAAAACUAUGCAAUACACCAACCACUCCAUUUCGGAAAGAACUUCGUUGGAACUUGAAUUGUCCAAUUUCAUGGACCAAUCGAUGUCGGAUUGAGUUCAAAACUUGGGGAACAAGAUAAUACGGUGGGAGGAGUCAUUUGGUGUCUUUUGACUGAAAUCCAAUCUCUACAACUAUGCAAGACACCAACCACUCCAUUUCAUAACGAACUUCGUACGAACCUGAAUUGUCCAAUUUCAUCGACCAAACGAUAUCGGAUUCACCUCUUCGAUUGACAGGUGCGUAUAUUUCGAGGACGAAAUUUGUAUAAGGGGGGUAGGUUGUAAUGACCCAAACCUAAAAUUCAUAUUUAAUGAGUAAUUUAUUAUGCGGAAAGACAAUUUUGCCGUUUGACUAAAUUAUGAACUCAAAGUUGACUUUUUGACCGAAAAGGAAUUUGACAAUUCCACAUGCACCGUUGCGUAGAGCACGACGACACGAGUUCAUAGACACGAAGUGAGCUCAAAUCGGAGUUUUAACAAAGAAAAUACGAUUAAAAUAUCACCAGGGGCAAAAUGAUAAAUUGGAAAAUCAGAAUUUUUAUAUAACCUCACCUCUCUCUCUCUCUUUCUCUCUCCCCGAGCCCUCCUCCCUCUCUGUUUUCUUUCUCUCCCUCCCGUCGCCCUCCACUUGUUAGAGCCGCCACCACCGGCCAUUCCAAGCAGCAAGACCGGAGCCAAAACGACCGGCGUCGCGCCGCCACCACACCCAGCCCAGCCCGUUGCCAGCCGCUGCCGUCAGCCGCCGGAAACGGUGAAAAAACGAGUCGGUUUUGUCAAAUCUUCCAACCGCUCGUUCUCCUUCAAUUCUCUUCCAAAUUUGUCGAGUAAGGUAUGGUUUUCUAGCUAUUUUUCAUGCUCUAGCUGAUGGUUGGGUAGGUUUGCAUCGAUUUUGACCGUAGCUAGCUCAGUUUGUAAAUUGAAAUUCGGGCGACUUUCGGCCUCCGUGUUUGGCCACUUCCGGUCAGUUUUUGGGGUAGUUCCAAGAACAAAAGUGACUCCAAAUGGGGUGUUUUACCUAGGAUAGGAGUUUGGAGUCCUGGUUCCGAGAUUUUUCGACCACCCGAAAUCGCUUAAGACACCCAAAUCUGCCCGCGCGUGCUGGGGCGCGUGGGCGAGGGUGGUGAAGUAAUUUUGUACAGUUUUGUGACCCUCGUGUCGUCACGAGCGCGUAGGAUUUCGCGGAUCUCGAUUCGGAGUUCGUUUGAGCCCCGAACGGAUUUUUCAUAUCGCGUGAUCCUUGGGUGCAGUGUCGUCAAAUCGUUGGAUCACACUGAAUUUUGGAUAUGUCAGUCUACAUGAUUUCAGGAUCGUGUAGGAGUCGACGGAUUGCGAAUCGGAGUCCCGGAUACUCCGAAAUCGCGAACCCUAGGGCUAGGGUUUAGAACUUAUGCGAUUACACGAUCGUGAUUAAUCCGACCGUCCGAUUGACACCAAUACCCUCGGGACAUGUGUCCUAAAUAUAUUGGACCUUCUAGCGGCAUCCGGAUCAUAUUGUACCCGUGGGGUUCCGGAUUGACUUUUUGGGCUUUAGCGCUUUUGAGUCCCAAGAUACCGCUAAACGAUUCCACGUGGAAGGAAAGCUGUUAUGGGCAUAGGGAUCACUUUAAAUUGACGCACGUCCUUUUAGGAGCCGGGGGUAGGGUUUUUAAUUUAAUACUAUAUUGUAUUAAUAGAAUAUUAUGGUCAUUGAAUCAGGCACCCGGGCACCAGUUGACCCGCAGGAGGGACCUUCAAGAGGUCCAGCGAGUUCGGACUAUCAGUGAGUGGACUCUUUGUUUUCAUAAAUGAAUUUAAGCAGUUCAGUUUCAGUUAUCAGCUGUUUUAUUCUGUUAAAUAUUUUAUGUUGCAUGCUGCCGAGUGACAUUUCCUUUAAAGAAUAUAGGAACAGAUAUUCUUAUUUAUUAUCAGAUAAAUGGCAGCAGAAUUUUAAAGGUUACAGAAAGUUAAUUAUUCAACAGAUUUCCUUCAGAAACUUUAUAUUUUCUUAAAUCACUUUGUACCCAGUUAUUAAAUGUUGCCUUCGAUUUAUAUUUGUUGCCUUCGGUUUAGUCAGCAUGCUUGACAGUUGCCCCACGAGAUCCUUGGUACUCGAACUCGUGUGGAGCAAGUAAUGCGGAUAAAGGUGGACUACGGUCCCCUGAAUCCUGCGAGUUGCGGCUCGGACUGACUUCGUGUCACUGAGACAUGCGAGUAUGUGUCACCCAUGGUGAUGCAAGGAAUUGACGGAUAUAAGGAUUUGACGGAAAUAGGGGUACACCUAAGUGAUAGUUUUCAACUGUUUUCAAAUGUAGAGUUAUAUACAUGCAUUGAUUUCAGAAAUAAAGAAAAUAAGCUAGUUUGUAUAACUGUUUUUACAGUGGGGUUAGUAUGUUCAUAUAGUAUUUUCUAAACUUUGUUUUUGGGUCCACUCACCCUUCUUGUUGUUUUGCGCCCCCAGGCAGUAGACGUGCACAGGAAUCCACCACCGGGCCACUUCCCAUCUUCCGUGCCUUUCUUUGAUGUAGGAUUUGUAUUUUGUACAAAGAUUCACUCUUUUGUAAAUUCUUAGAAGUCGCUCUGAUAUUUUGCCCUAGACUGAGUUUUGAUCUCUUGGAAUGUAUAUAUACAUAUGCUGGCAGUUGGUUGUAUAUAUGUAUACUUGUUUGGCAGGUGUGAAUGUUUUGGUAUUGAGCCAGUUACAAGGGAAACUCUGCCGGUUUUUCGGUAGAAGUCAACCUUGUUAUUUUAUCGUGUUUUGUAUAGAAGGGCAAAUAGGUCUUUUGUGCACGACAUUUGCCAGGUGUCGGACAUGCACAGGGUCUGACUCGGAUUCCAAAGCGGAAUUUGGAUCGGGUCCUGUGAAAUCGUAUUCGGAUUGAGUCCAAAACUUGUGGAACAAGAUAAUAUGGUGGGAGGAGUCAUUUGGUGACUUUUGAGUGAAAUCCAAAGGCUAAAACUAUGCAAUACACUAACCACUCAUUUCAUAACGAACUUCGUACGAACCUGAAUUGUCCAAUUUCAUGGACCAAUCGAUAUCGGAUUGAGUCCAAAACUUGGGGAACAUCAUAAUACAAUGGGUGGAGUCAUUUGGCAGGUUCUGAGUGAAAUCCAACCUCUACAACUAUGCAAUACACCAACCACUCCAUUUCAUAACGAACUUCGUAUGAACCUGAAUUGUCCAAUUUCAUGGACCCAUCGAAAUCUGAUUGAGUCCAAAACUUGUGGAACAAGAUAAUAUGACGGGAGGAGUCAUUUGGUGACUUUUGAGUGAAAUCCAAUGGCUAAAACUAUGCAAUACACUAACCACUCCAUUUCAUAACGAAUUUUGUACGAACCUGAACUGUCCAAUUUCAUGGACCAAUCGAUAUCGGAUUGAGUCCACAACUUGGGGAAUAUCAUAACACUGUGGGAGGAGUCAUUUGGUGGCUUUUGAGAGAAAUCCAAUCUCUACAACUAUGCAAUACACAAACCACUCCAUUUCAUAACGAACUUCGUACGAACCUGAAUUGUCCAAUUUUAUGGACCAAUCGACAUUGGAUUGAGUCCAAAAUAUGGGGAACAUCAUAAUAUGAUGGGAGGAGUCAUUUGGUGGCUUUUGACUGAAAUCCAAUGGCUAAAACUGUGCAAUACUCCAACCACUCCAUUUCAUAACGAACUUCGUACGAACCAGAAUUGUCCAAUUUCAUGGACCAAUCGAUAUCGGAUUGAGUCCAAAACCUGUGGAACAAGAUAAUAUGGUGGGAGGAGUCAUUUGGUGACUUUUGAGUGAAAUCCAAUGGCUAAAACUAUGCAAUACACUAACCACUCAUUUCAUAACGAACUUCAUACGAACCUGAAUUGUCCAAUUUCAUGGACCAAUCGAUAUCGGAUUGAGUCCAAAACUUGGGGAACAUCAUAAUACAAUGGGUGGAGUCAUUUGGCAGGUUUUGAGUGAAAUCCAACCUCUACAACUAUGCAAUACACCAACCACUCCAUUUCAUAACGAACUUCAUACGAACCUGAAUUGUCCAAUUUCAUGGACCCAUCGAUAUCUGAUCGAGUCCAAAACUUGUGGAACAAGAUAAUAUGAUGGGAGGAGUCAUUUGGUGAGUUUUGAGUGAAAUCCAAUGGCUAAAACUAUGCAAUACACUAACCACUCCAUUUCAUAACGAACUUCGUACGAACCUGAACUGUCCAAUUUCAUGGACCAAUCGAUAUCGGAUUGAGUCCAAAACUUGGGGAACAUCAUAAUAUGAUGGGAGGUGUCAUUUUGUGACUUUUGAGUGAAAUCCAACUGCUAAAACUAUGCAAUACACCAACCACUCCAUUUCGGAACGAACUUCGUACGAACCUGAAUUGUCCAAUUUCAUGGACCAAUCGAUAUCGGAUUGAGUCCAAAACUUGGGGAACAUCAUAAUACGGUGGGGAGGAGUCAUUUCGUGACUUUUGAGUGAAAUCCAAUGGCUAAAACUAUGCUAUACACAAACACCCCUUUCUAACGAACUUCGUAGAACCUAAAUUGUCCAUUUAUGGACCAAUCAUAUCGGAUUGAGUCCAAAACUUGGGGAACAUCAUCACAUGAUGGGAGGAGUCAGUUGGUGACUUUGGAGUGAAAUCCAAUGGCUAAAACUAUGCAACACACUAAACACACCAUUUCAGAACGAACUUCGUAAGAACCUGAAAUGUCCAAUUUCAUGGACCAAUCGAUAUCGGAUUGAGUCCAAAACUUGGGGAACAUCAUCAUAUGAUGGGAGGAGUCAUUUGGUGACUUUUGAGUGAAAUCCAACGGCUAAAACUAUGCAAUACACUAACCACUGCAUUUCAGAACGAACUUCGUACAAACCUGAAUUGUCCAAUUUCAUGGACCAAUCGAUAUCGGAUUGAGUCCGAAACUUGGGGAACAUCAUAAUAUGAUGGGAGGAGUCAUUUGGUGACUUUUGAGUGAAUCCAAUGGCUAAAACUGUGCAAUACACCAACCACUCCAUUUCGGAACGAACUUCGUACGAACCUGAAUUGUCCAAUUUCAUGGACCAAUCGAUAUCGGAUUGAGUUCAAAACUUGGGGAACAUCAUAAUACGGUGGGAGGAGUCAUUCGGUGACUUUUGAGUGAAAUCCAAUGGCUAAAACUAUGCAAUACACUAAACACACCAUUUCAUAACAACUUCGUAAGAACCUAAAUUGUCCAAUUUCAUGGACCAAUCGAUAUCGGAUUGAGUCCAAAACUUGGGGAACAUCAUCACAUGAUGGGAGGAGUCAUUUGUUGACUUUGGAGUGAAAUCCAAUGGCUAAAACUAUGCAAUACACUAAACACACCAUUUCAGAACGAACUUCGUAAGAACCUGAAUUGUCCAAUUUCAUGGACCAAUCGAUAUCGGAUUGAGUCCAAAACUUGGGGAACAUCAUCAUAUGAUGGGAGGAGUCAUUUGGUGACUUUUGAGUGAAAUCCAAUGGCUAAAACUAUGCAAUACACUAACCACUCCAUUUCAGAACGAACUUCGUACAAACCUGAAUUGUCCAAUUUCAUGGACCAAUCGAUAUCGGAUUGAGUCCGAAACGUGGGGAACAUCAUAAUAUGAUGGGAGGAGUCAUUUGGUGCCUUUUGAGUGAAAUCCAAUGGCUAAAACUAUACAAUACACUAACCACUCCAUUUCAUAAUGAACUUCGUACGAACUUGAAUUGUCCAAUUUUAUGGACCAAUCGAUAUCGGAUUGAGUCCGAAACUUGGGGAACAUCAUAAUAUGAUGGGAGGAGUCAUUUGGUGACUUUUGAGUGAAAUCCAACUGCUAAAACUAUGCAAUACACCAACCACUCCAUUUCGGAACGAACUUCGUACGAACCUGAAUUGUCCAAUUUCAUGGACCAAUCGAUAUCGGAUUGAGUCCAAAACUUGGGGAACAUCAUAAUACGGUGGGAGGAGUCAUUCGGUGACUUUUGAGUGAAAUCCAAUGGCUAAAACUAUGCAAUACACUAAACAUACCAUUUCAUAACGAACUUCGUAAGAACCUAAAUUGUCCAAUUUCAUGGACCAAUCGAUAUCGGAUUGAGUCCAAAACUUGGGGAACAUCAUCACAUGAUGGGAGGAGUCAGUUGGUGACUUUGGAGUGAAAUCCAAUGGCUAAAACUAUGCAACACACUAAACACACCAUUUCAGAACGAACUUCGUAAGAACCUGAAAUGUCCAAUUUCAUGGACCAAUCGAUAUCGGAUUGAGUCCAAAACUUGGGGAACAUCAUCAUAUGAUGGGAGGAGUCAUUUGGUGACUUUUGAGUGAAAUCCAACGGCUAAAACUAUGCAAUACACUAACCACUGCAUUUCAGAACGAACUUCGUACAAACCUGAAUUGUCCAAUUUCAUGGACCAAUCGAUAUCGGGAUUGAGUCCGAACUUGGGGAACAUCAUAAUAUGAUGGGAGGAGUCAUUUGGGUGACUUUGAGUGAAUCCAAUGGCUAAACUAUGCAAUACANNNNNNNNNNNNNNNNNNNNNNNNNNNNNNNNNNNNNNNNNNNNNNNNNNNNNNNNNNNNNNNNNNNNNNNNNNNNNNNNNNNNNNNNNNNNNNNNNNNNNNNNNNNNNNNNNNNNNNNNNNNNNNNNNNNNNNNNNNNNNNNNNNNNNNNNNNNNNNNNNNNNNNNNNNNNNNNNNNNNNNNNNNNNNNNNNNNNNNNNNNNNNNNNNNNNNNNNNNNNNNNNNNAUCGAUAUCGGAUUGAGUCCAAAACUUGGGGGAACAUCAUCACCUGAUGGGAGGAGUCAUUUGGUGACUUUGGAGUGAAAAUCCAAUGGCUAAAACUAUGCAAUACACUAAACACACCAUUUCAGAACGAACUUCGUAAGAACCUGAAUUGUCCAAUUUCAUGGACCAAUCGAUAUCGGAUUGAGUCCAAAACUUGGGGAACAUCAUGAUAUGAUGGGAGGAGUCAUUUGGUGACUUUUGAGUGAAAUCCAACGGCUAAAACUAUGCAAUACACUAACCACUCCAUUUCAGAACGAACUUCGUACAAACCUGAAUUGUCCAAUUUCAUGGACCAAUCGAUAUCGGAUUGAGUCCGAAACUUGGGGAACAUCAUAAUAUGAUGGGAGGAGUCAUUUGGUGAAUUUUGAGUGAAUCCAAUGGCUAAAACUAUGCAAUACACCAACCACUCCAUUUCGGAACGAACUUCGUACGAACCUGAAUUGUCCAAUUUCAUGGACCAAUCGAUAUCGGAUUGAGUCCAAAACUGGGNNNNNNNNNNNNNNNNNNNNNNNNNNNNNNNNNNNNNNNNNNNNNNNNNNNNNNNNNNNNNNNNNNNNNNNNNNNNNNNNNNNNNNNNNNNNNNNNNNNNAACGAACUUCGUACGAACCUGAAUUGUCCAAUUUCAUGGACCAAUCGAUAUCGGAUUGAGUCCAAAACUUGGGGAACAUCAUAAUACGGCGGGAGGAGUCAUUCGGUGACUUUUGAGUGAAAUCCAAUGGCUAAAACUAUGCAAUACACUAACCACUCCAUUUCAGAACGAACUUCGUACAAACCUGAAUUGUCGAAUUUCAUGGACCAAUCGAUAUCGGAUUGAGUCCAAAACUUGGGGAACAUCAUAAUACGGUGGGAGGAGUCAUUUGGCGGGUUUUGAAUGAAAUCGAAUCUCUACAACUGUGCAAUACACCAAGCACUCCAUUUCAUAACGAACUUCAUACGAACCUGAAUUGUCCAAUUUCAUGCACCAAUCGAUAUUUGAUUGAGUCGAAAACUUAGGGAACAUCAUAAUAUGAUGGGAGGAGUCAUUUGGUGACUUUUGAGUGAAAUCCAAUGGCUAAAACUAUGCAAUACACUAAACACACCAUUUCAGAACGAACUUCGUAAGAACCUGAAUUGUCGAAUUUCAUGGACCAAUCGAUAUCGGAUUGAGUCCAAAAUUUGGGGAACAUCAUAAUACGGUGGGAGGAGUCAUUUGGUGACUUUUGAGUGAAAUCCAAUGGCUAAAACAAUGCAAUACACUAACCACUCCAUUUCAGAACGAACUUCGUAUGAACCUGAAUUGUCCAAUUUCGUGUACCAAUCGAUAUUGGAUUGAGUCCGGAACUUGAGGAGCAACAUAAUAUGAUGGGAGGAGUCAUUUGGUGGCUUUUGACUCAAAUCCAAUGGCUAAAACUAUGCAAUACACUAACCACUACAUUUCAGAACGAACUUCGUACAAACCUGAAUUGUCCAAUUUCAUGGACCAAUCGAUAUCGGAUUGAGUCCAAAACUUGGGGAAUAUCAUAAUAAGGUGGGAGGAGUCAUUUGGGGUGUUUUGAGUGAAAUCCAUGGCCUAAAACUAUGCAAUACACCAACCACUCCAUUUCACAACGAACUUCGUACGACCCUGAUUUGUCCAUUUUCAUGGACCAAUCGAUAUCGGAUUGAGUCCAAAACUUGGGGAACAUCAUAAUACGGCGGGAGGAGUCAUUCGGUGACUUUUGAGUGAAAUCCAAUGGCUAAAACUAUGCAAUACACUAACCACUCCAUUUCAGAACGAACUUCGUACAAACCUGAAUUGUCCAAUUUCAAGGACCAAUCGAUAUCGGAUUGAGUCCAAAACUUGGGGAACAUCAUAAUACGGAGAGAGGAGUCAUUUGUUGUCUUUUGACUGAAAUCCAAUGGCUAAAACUAUNNNNNNNNNNNNNNNNNNNNNNNNNNNNNNNNNNNNNNNNNNNNNNNNNNNNNNNNNNNNNNNNNNNNNNNNNNNNNNNNNNNNNNNNNNNNNNNNNNNNNNNNNNNNNNNNNNNNNNNNNNNNNNNNNNNNNNNNNNNNNNNNNNNNNNNNNNNNNNNNNNNNNNNNNNNNNNNNNNNNNNNNNNNNNNNNNNNNNNNNNNNNNNNNNNNNNNNNNNNNNNNNNNNNNNNNNNNNNNNNNNNNNNNNNNNNNNNNNNNNNNNNNNNNNNNNNNNNNNNNNNNNNNNNNNNNNNNNNNNNNNNNNNNNNNNNNNNNNNNNNNNNNNNNNNNNNNNNNNNNNNNNNNNNNNNNNNNNNNNNNNNNNNNNNNNNNNNNNNNNNNNNNNNNNNNNNNNNNNNNNNNNNNNNNNNNNNNNNNNNNNNNNNNNNNNNNNNNNNNNNNNNNNNNNNNNNNNNNNNNNNNNNNNNNNNNNNNNNNNGAAUCCAAUGGCUAAAACUAUGCAAUACACCAACCACUCCAUUUCGGAACGAACUUCGUACGAACCUGAAUUGUCCAAUUUCAUGGACCAAUCGAUAUCGGAUUGAGUCCAAAACUUGGGGAAUAUCAUAAUAAGGUGGGAGGAGUCAUUUGGGGUGUUUUGAGUGAAAUCCAAUGGCUAAAACUAUGCAAUACACCAACCACUCCAUUUCAGAACGAACUUCGUACGAACCUGAAUUGUCCAAUUUCAUGGACCAAUCGAUAUCGGAUUGAGUCCAAAACUUGGGGAACAUCAUAAUACGGCGGGAGGAGUCAUUCGGUGACUUUUGAGUGAAAUCCAAUGGCUAAAACUAUGCAAUACACUAACCACUCCAUUUGAGAACGAACUUCGUACAAACCUGAAUUGUCCAAUUUCAUGGACCAAUCGAUAUCGGAUUGAGUCCAAAACUUGGGGAACAUCAUAAUACGGAGAGAGGAGUCAUUUGUUGUCUUUUGACUGAAAUCCAAUGGCUAAAACUAUAUAUGCAAUACACUAACCACUCCAUUUCGGAACGAACUUCGUACGAACCUGAAUUGUCCAAUUUCGUGUACCAAUCGAUAUUGGAUUGAGUCCGGAACUUGAGAGCAACAUAAUAUGAUGGGAGGAGUCAUUUGGUGUCUUUUGACUGAAAUCCAAUGGCUAAAACUAUGCAAUACACUAAACCACUAUAUUUCAGAACGAACUUCGUACAAACUGAAUUGUCCAAUUUCAUGGACCAAUCGAUAUCGGAUUGAGUCCAAAACUUGGGGAAUAUCAUAAUAAGGUGGGAGGAGUCAUUUGGGGUGUUUUGAGUGAAAUCCAAUGGCUAAAACUAUGCAAUACACCAACCACUCCAUUUCAGAACGAACUUCGUACGAACCUGAAUUGUCCAAUUUCAUGGACCAAUCGAUAUCGGAUUGAGUCCAAAACUUGGGGAACAUCAUAAUACGGCGGGAGGAGUCAUUCGGUGACUUUUGAGUGAAAUCCAAUGGCUAAAACUAUGCAAUACACUAACCACUCCAUUUCAGAACGAACUUCGUACAAACCUGAAUUGUCCAAUUUCAAGGACCAAUCGAUAUCGGAUUGAGUCCAAAACUUGGGGAACAUCAUAAUACGGAGAGAGGAGUCAUUUGUUGUCUUUUGACUGAAAUCCAAUGGCUAAAACUAUAUAUGCAAUACACUAACCACUCCAUUUCGGAACGAACUUCGUACGAACCUGAAUUGUCCAAUUUCAUGGACCAAUCGAUAUCGGAUUGAGUCCAAAACUUGGGGAACAUCAUAAUACGGUGGGAGGAGUCAUUUGGUGACUUUGAGUGAAAUCCAAUGGCUAAAACUAUGCAAUACACUAAACACACCAUUUCAUAACAACUUCAUAAGAACNNNNNNNNNNNNNNNNNNNNNNNNNNNNNNNNNNNNNNNNNNNNNNNNNNNNNNNNNNNNNNNNNNNNNNNNNNNNNNNNNNNNNNNNNNNNNNNNNNNNGUCAUUUGGUGACUUUUGAGUGAAAUCCAAUGGCUAAAACUAUGCAAUACACUAACCACUCCAUUUCAGAACGAACUUCGUACAAACUGAAUUGUCCAUUUUCAUGGACCAAUCGAUAUCGGAUUGAGUCCAAAACUUGGGGAACAUCAUAAUAUGAUGGGAGGAGUCAUUUGGUGACUUUUGAGUGAAUCCAAUGGCUAAAACUAUGCAAUACACCAACCACUCCAUUUCGGAACGAACUUCGUACGAACGUGAAUUGUCCAAUUUCAUGGACCAAUCGAUAUCGGAUUGAGUCCAAAACUUGGGGAACAUCAUCAUAUGAUGGGAGGAGUCAUUUGGUGACUUUUGAGUGAAAUCCAAUGGAUAAAACUAUGCAAUACACUAACCACUCCAUUUAAGAACGAACUUCGUACAAACCUGAAUUGUCCAAUUUCAUGGACCAAUCGAUAUCGGAUUGGGUCCGAAACUUGGGGAACAUCAUAAUAUGAUGGGAUGAGUCAUGUGGUGCCUUUUGAGUGAAAUCCAAUGGCUAAAACUAUGCAAUACACUUACCACUCCAUUUAAGAACGAACUUUGUACAAACUUGAAUUGUCCAAUUUCAUGGACCAAUCGAUAUCGGAUUGGGUCCGAAACUUGGGGAACAUCAUAAUAUGAUGGGAUGAGUCAUGUGGUGCCUUUUGAGUGAAAUCCAAUGGCUAAAACUAUGCAAUACACUUACCACUCCAUUUAAGAACGAACUUUGUACAAACUUGAAUUGUCCAAUUUCAUGGACCAAUCGAUAUCGGAUUGAGUCCAAAACUUGGGGAACAUCAUAAUACGGAGGGAGGAGUCAUUUGGGGUCUUUUGAGUGAAAUCCAAUGGCUAAAACUAUGCAAUACACUAACCACUCCAUUUCAGAACGAAAUUCGUACAAACCUGAAUUGUCCAAUUUCAUGGACCAAUCGAUAUCGGAUUGAGUCCAAAACUUGGGGAACAUCAUAAUACGGUGGGAGGAGUCAUUUGGUGACUUUUGAGUGAAAUCCAAUGGCUAAAACUAUGCAAUACACUAAACACACCAUUUCAUAACAACUUCGUAAGAACCUAAAUUGUCCAAUUUCAUGGACCAAUCGAUAUCGGAUUGGGUCCAAAACUUGGGGAACAUCAUCACAUGAUGGGAGGAUUCAUUUGGUGACUUUGGAGUGAAAUCCAAUGGCUAAAACUAUGCAAUACACGAAACACACCAUUUCAGAACGAACUUCGUAAGAACCUGAAUUGUCCAAUUUCAUGGACCAAUCGAUAUCGGAUUGAGUCCAAAACUUGGGGAACAUCAUCAUAUGAUGGGAGGAGUCAUUUGGUGACUUUUGAGUGAAAUCCAACGGCUAAAACUAUGCAAUACACUAACCACUCCAUUUCAGAACGAACUUCGUACAAACCUGAAUUGUCCAAUUUCAUGGACCAAUCGAUAUCGGAUUGAGUCCGAAACUUGGGGAACAUCAUAAUAUGAUGGGAGGAGUCAUUUGGUGAAUUUUGAGGUGAAUCCAAUGGCUAAAACUAUGCAAUACACCAACCACUCCAUUUCGGACGAACUUCGUACGAACCUGAAUUGUCCAAUUUCAUGGACCAAUCGAUAUCGGAUUGAGUCCAAAACUUGGGGAACAUCAUAAGACGGUGGGAGGAGUCAUUUGGUGAGUUUUGAGUGAAAUCCAAUGGCUAAAACUAUGCAAUACACUAAACACACCAUUUCAUAACAACUUCGUAAGAACCUAAAUUGUCCAAUUUUAUGGACCAAUCGAUAUCGGAUUGAGUCCAAAACUUGGGGAACAUCAUCACAUGAUGGGAGGAUUCAUUUGGUGACUUUGGAGUGAAAUCCAAUGGCUAAAACUAUGCAAUACACGAAACACACCAUUUCAGAACAAACUUCGUAAAAACCUGAAUUGUCCAAUUUCAUAGACCAAUCGAUAUCGGAUUGAGUCCAAAACUUGGGGAACAUCAUCAUAUGAUGGGAGGAGUCAUUUGGUGACUUUUAAGUGAAAUCCAAUGGCUAAAACUAUGCAAUACACUAACCACUCCAUUUCAGAACCAACUUCGUACCAACCUGAAUUGUCCAAUUUCAUGGACCAAUCGAUAUCGGAUUGAGUCCGAAACGUGGGGAACAUCAUAAUAUGAUGGGAGGAGUCAUUUGGUGCCUUUUGAGUGAAAUCCAAUGGCUAAAACUAUACAAUACACUAACCACUCCAUUUCAUAACGAACUUCGUACGAACUUGAAUUGUCCAAUUUUAUGGACCAAUCGAUAUCGGAUUGAGUCCGAAACUUGGGGAACAUCAUAAUAUGAUGGGAGGAGUCAUUUGGUGACUUUUGAGUGAAAUCCAAUGGCUAAAACUAUGCAAUACACUAACCACUCCGUUUCAGAACGAACUUCGUACAAACCUGAAUUGUCCAAUUUCAUGGACCAAUCGAUAUCGGAUUGAGUCCAAAACUUGGGGAACAUCAUAAUACGGAGGGAGGAGUCAUUUGGGGCUUUUGACUGAAAUCCAAUGGCUAAACUAUGCAAUACACUAACCACUACAUUUCANNNNNNNNNNNNNNNNNNNNNNNNNNNNNNNNNNNNNNNNNNNNNNNNNNNNNNNNNNNNNNNNNNNNNNNNNNNNNNNNNNNNNNNNNNNNNNNNNNNNNNNNNNNNNNNNNNNNNNNNNNNNNNNNNNNNNNNNNNNNNNNNNNNNNNNNNNNNNNNNNNNNNNNNNNNNNNNNNNNNCGAACUUGAAUUGUCCAAUUUUAUGGACAAUCGAUAUCGGAUUGAGGUCCGAAACUUGGGGAACAUCAUAAUAUGAUGGGAGGAGUCAUUUGGUGACUUUUGAGUGAAAUCCAACUGCUAAACUAUGCAAUACACCAACCACUCCAUUUCGUAACGAACUUCGUACGAACCUGAAUUGUCCAAUUUCAUGGACCAAUCGAUAUCGGAUUGAGUCCAAAACUUGGGGAACAUCAUAAUACGGUGGGAGGAGUCAUUCGGUGACUUUUGAGUGAAAUCCAAUGGCUAAAACUAUGCAAUACACUAAACAUACCAUUUCAUAACGAACUUCGUAAGAACCUAAAUUGUCCAAUUUCAUGGACCAAUCGAUAUCGGAUUGAGUCCAAAACUUGGGGAACAUCAUCACAUGAUGGGAGGAGUCAGUUGGUGACUUUGGAGUGAAAUCCAGUGGCUAAAACUAUGCAACACACUAAACACACCAUUUCAGAACGAACUUCGUAAGAACCUGAAAUGUCCAAUUUCAUGGACCAAUCGAUAUCGGAUUGAGUCCAAAACUUGGGGAACAUCAUCAUAUGAUGGGAGGAGUCAUUUGGUGACUUUUGAGUGAAAUCCAACGGCUAAAACUAUGCAAUACACUAACCACCUGCAUUCAGAACGAACUUCGUACAACCUUGAAUGUNNNNNNNNNNNNNNNNNNNNNNNNNNNNNNNNNNNNNNNNNNNNNNNNNNNNNNNNNNNNNNNNNNNNNNNNNNNNNNNNNNNNNNNNNNNNNNNNNNNNNNNNNNNNNNNNNNNNNNNNNNNNNNNNNNNNNNNNNNNNNNNNNNNNNNNNNNNNNNNNNNNNNNNNNNNNNNNNNNNNNNNNNNNNNNNNNNNNNNNNNNNNNNNNNNNNNNNNNNNNNNNNNNNNNNNNNNNNNNNNNNNNNNNNNNNNNNNNNNNNNNNNNNNNNNNNNNNNNNNNNNNNNNNNNNNNNNNNNNNNNNNNNNNNNNNNNNNNNNNNNNNNNNNNNNNNNNNNNNNNNNNNNNNNNNNNNNNNNNNNNNNNNNNNNNNNNNNNNNNNNNNNNNNNNNNNNNNNNNNNNNNNNNNNNNNNNNNNNNNNNNNNNNNNNNNNNNNNNNNNNNNNNNNNNNNNNNNNNNNNNNNNNNNNNNNNNNNNNNNNNNNNNNNNNNNNNNNNNNNNNNNNNNNNNNNNNNNNNNNNNNNNNNNNNNNNNNNNNNNNNNNNNNNNNNNNNNNNNNNNNNNNNNNNNNNNNNNNNNNNNNNNNNNNNNNNNNNNNNNNNNNNNNNNNNNNNNNNNNNNNNNNNNNNNNNNNNNNNNNNNNNNNNNNNNNNNNNNNNNNNNNNNNNNNNNNNNNNNNNNNNNNNNNNNNNNNNNNNNNNNNNNNNNNNNNNNNNNNNNNNNNNNNNNNNNNNNNNNNNNNNNNNNNNNNNNNNNNNNNNNNNNNNNNNNNNNNNNNNNNNNNNNNNNNNNNNNNNNNNNNNNNNNNNNNNNNNNNNNNNNNNNNNNNNNNNNNNNNNNNNNNNNNNNNNNNNNNNNNNNNNNNNNNNNNNNNNNNNNNNNNNNNNNNNNNNNNNNNNNNNNNNNNNNNNNNNNNNNNNNNNNNNNNNNNNNNNNNNNNNNNNNNNNNNNNNNNNNNNNNNNNNNNNNNNNNNNNNNNNNNNNNNNNNNNNNNNNNNNNNNNNNNNNNNNNNNNNNNNNNNNNNNNNNNNNNNNNNNNNNNNNNNNCAUAAUACGGAGGGAGGAGUCAUUUGGGGUCUUUUGACUGAAAUCCAAUGGCUAAAACUAUGCAAUACACUAACCACUACAUUUCAGAACGAAAUUCGUACAAACCUGAAUUGUCCAAUUUCAUGGACCAAUCGAUAUCGGAAUUGAGUCCCAAAACUUGGGGAAUAUCAUAAUAAGGUGGGAGGAGUCAUUUGGGGUGUUUUGAGUGAAAUCCAAUGGCUAAAACUAUGCAAUACACCAACCACUCCAUUUCAGAACGAACUUCGUACGAACCUGAAUUGUCCAAUUUCAUGGACCAAUCGAUAUCGGAUUGAGUCCAAAACUUGGGGAACAUCAUAAUACGGCGGGAGGAGUCAUUCGGUGACUUUUGAGUGAAAUCCAAUGGCUAAAACUAUGCAAUACACUAACCACUCCAUUUCAGAAUGAACUUCGUACAAACCUGAAUUGUCCAUUUUCAUGGACCAAUCGAUAUCGGAUUGAGUCCAAAACUUGGGGAACAUCAUAAUACGGUGGGAGGAGUCAUUUGGCGGGUUUUGAAUGAAAUCGAAUCUCUACAACUGUGCAAUACACCAAGCACUCCAUUUCAUAACGAACUUCAUACGAACCUGAAUUGUCCAAUUUCAUGCACCAAUCGAUAUCUGAUUGAGUCGAAAACUUAGGGAACAUCAUAAUAUGAUGGGAGGAGUCAUUUGGUGACUUUUGAGUGAAAUCCAAUGGCUAAAACUAUGCAAUACACUAAACACACCAUUUCAGAACGAACUUCGUAAGAACAUGAAUUGUCGAAUUUCAUGGACCAAUCGAUAUCGGAUUGAGUCCAAAAUUUGGGGUCCAUCAUAAUACGGUGGGAGGAGUCAUUUGGUGACUUUUGAGUGAAAUCUAAUGGCUAAAACAAUGCAAUACACUAACCACUCCAUUUCAGAACGAACUUCGUAUGAACCUGAAUUGUCCAAUUUCGUGUACCAAUCGAUAUUGGAUUGAGUCCGGAACUUGAGGAGCAACAUAAUAUGAUGGGAGGAGUCAUUUGGUGACUUUUGAGUGAAAUCCAAUGGCUAAAACUAUGCAAUACACUAAACACACCAUUUCAGAACGAACUUCGUAAGAACCUGAAUUGUCGAAUUUCAUGGACCAAUCGAUAUCGGAUUGAGUCCAAAACUUGGGGAACAUCAUAAUACGGCGGGAGGAGUCAUUCGGUGACUUUUGAGUGAAAUCCAAUGGCUAAAACUAUGCAAUACACUAACCACUCCAUUUCAGAACGAACUUCGUACAAACCUGAAUUGUCCAAUUUCAUGGACCAAUUGAUAUCGGAUUGAGUCCAAAACUUGGGGAACAUCAUAAUACGGAGAGAGGAGUCAUUUGUUGUCUUUUGACUGAAAUCCAAUGGCUAAAACUAUAUAUGCAAUACACUAACCACUCCAUUUCGGAACGAACUUCGUACGAACCUGAAUUGUCCAAUUUCGUGUACCAAUCGAUAUUGGAUUGAGUCCGGAACUUGAGAGCAACAUAAUAUGAUGGGAGGAGUCAUUUGGUGUCUUUUGACUGAAAUCCAAUGGCUAAAACUAUGCAAUACACUAACCACUACAUUUCAGAACGAACUUCGUACAAACCUGAAUUGUCCAAUUUCAUGGACCAAUCGAUAUCGGAUUGAGUCCAAAACUUGGGGAAUAUCAUAAUAAGGUGGGAGGAGUCAUUUGGGGUGUUUUGAGUGAAAUCCAAUGGCUAAAACUAUGCAAUACACCAACCACUCCAUUUCAGAACGAACUUCGUACGAACCUGAAUUGUCCAAUUUCAUGGACCAAUCGAUAUCGGAUUGAGUCCAAAACUUGGGGAACAUCAUAAUACGGCGGGAGGAGUCAUUCGGUGACUUUUGAGUGAAAUCCAAUGGCUAAAACUAUGCAAUACACUAACCACUCCAUUUCAGAACGAACUUCGUACAAACCUGAAUUGUCCAUUUUCAUGGACCAAUCGAUAUCGGAUUGAGUCCAAAACUUGGGGAACAUCAUAAUGCGGUGGGAGGAGUCAUUUGGCGGGUUUUGAAUGAAAUCCAAUCUCUACAACUGUGCAAUACACCAAGCACUCCAUUUCAUAACGAACUUCAUACGAACCUGAAUUGUCCAAUUUCAUGGACCAAUCGAUAUCUGAUUGAGUCCAAAACUUAGGGAACAUCAUAAUAUGAUGGGAGGAGUCAUUUGGUGACUUUUGAGUGAAAUCCAAUGGCUAAAACUAUGCAAUACACUAAACACUCCAUUUCAUAACGAACUUCCUAAAAACCUGAAUUGUCGAAUUUCAUGGACCAAUCGAUAUCGGAUUGAGUCCAAAAUUUGGGGAACAUCAUAAUACGGUGGGAGGAGUCAUUUGGUGACUUUUGAGUGAAAUCCAAUGGCUAAAACUAUGCAAUACACUAACCACUCCAUUUCAGAACGAACUUCGUACGAACCUGAAUUGUCCAAUUUCUUGCACCAAUCGAUAUUGGAUUGAGUCCCAAACUUGAUGAGCAACAUAAUACGAUGGGAGGAGUCAUUUGGUGACUUUUGAUUGAGAUCCAAUGACUAAACUAUGCAAUACACUGAACUACACCAUUUCAGANNNNNNNNNNNNNNNNNNNNNNNNNNNNNNNNNNNNNNNNNNNNNNNNNNNNNNNNNNNNNNNNNNNNNNNNNNNNNNNNNNNNNNNNNNNNNNNNNNNNNNNNNNNNNNNNNNNNNNNNNNNNNNNNNNNNNNNNNNNNNNNNNNNNNNNNNNCUCCAUUUCAGAACGAACUUCGUACAAACCUGAAUUGUCCAAUUUCAUGGACCAAUUGAUAUCGGAUUGAGUCCAAAACUUGGGGAACAUCAUAAUACGGAGAGAGGAGUCAUUUGUUGUCUUUUGACUGAAAUCCAAUGGCUAAAACUAUAUAUGCAUACACUAACCACUCCAUUUCGGAACGAACUUCGUACGAACCUGAAUUGUCCAAUUUCGUGUACCAAUCGAUAUUGGAUUGAGUCCGGAACUUGAGGAGCAACAUAAUAUGAUGGGAGGAGUCAUUUGGUGUCUUUUGACUGAAAUCCAAUGGCUAAAACUAUGCAAUACACUAACCACUACAUUUCAGAACGAACUUCGUACAAACCUGAAUUGUCCAAUUUCAUGGACCAAUCGAUAUCGGAUUGAGUCCAAAACUUGGGGAAUAUCAUAAUAAGGUGGGAGGAGUCAUUUGGGGUGUUUUGAGUGAAAUCCAAUGGCUAAAACUAUGCGAGACACCAACCACUCCAUUUCAGAACGAACUUCGUACGAACCUGAAUUGUCCAAUUUCAUGGACCAAUCGAUAUCGGAUUGAGUCCAAAACUUGGGGAACAUCAUAAUACGGCGGGAGGAGUCAUUCGGUGACUUUUGAGUGAAAUCCAAUGGCUAAAACUAUGCAAUACACUAACCACUCCAUUUCAGAACGAACUUCGUACGAACCUGAAUUGUCCAAUUUCAUGGACCAAUCGAUAUCGGAUUGAGUCCAAACUUGGGGAACAUCAUAAUACGGUGGGAGGAGUCAAUUGGUGACUUUUGAGUGAAAUCCAAUGGCUAAAACUAUGCAAUACACUAAACACACCAUUUCAUAACAACUUCAUAAGAACCUAAAUUGUCCAAUUUCACGGACCAAUCGAUAUCGGAUUGAGUCCAAAACUUGGGGAACAUCAUCAUAUGAUGGGAGGAGUCAUUUGGUGACUUUUGAGUGAAAUCCAAUGGAUAAAACUAUGCAAUAAACUAACCACUCCAUUUAAGAACGAACUUCGUACAAACCUGAAUUGUCCAAUUUCAUGGACCAAUCGAUAUCGGAUUGGGUCCGAAACUUGGGGAACAUCAUAAUAUGAUGGGAUGAGUCAUGUGGUGCCUUUUGAGUGAAAUCCAAUGGCUAAAACUAUGCAAUACACUUACCACUCCAUUUUAGAACGAACUUUGUACAAACUUGAAUUGUCCAAUUUCAUGGACCAAUCGAUAUCGGAUUGAGUCCAAAACUUGGGGAACAUCAUAAUACGGAGGGAGGAGUCAUUUGGUGUCUUUUGAGUGAAAUCCAAUGGCUAAAACUAUGCAAUACACUAAACACACCAUUUCAUAACGAACUUUGUAAGAACCUGAAUUGUCCAAUUUCAUGGACCAAUCGAUAUCGGAUUGAGUCCAAAACUUGGGGAACAUCAUCAUAUGAUGGGAGGAGUCAGUUGGUGACUUUUGAGUGAAAUCCAAUGGAUAAAACUAUGCAAUACACUAACCACUCCAUUUAAGAACGAACUUCGUACAAACCUGAAUUGUCCAAUUUCUUGGACCAAUCGAUAUCGGACUGAGUCUAAAACUUGGGGAACAUCAUCAUAUGAUGGGAGGAGUCAUUUGGUGACUUUUGAGUGAAAUCCAAUGGCUAAAACUAUGCAAUACACUAACCACUCCAUUUCAGAACGAACUUCGUACGAACUUGAAUUGUCCAAUUUCACUGGACCAAUUGAUAUCGAAUUGAGUCCGAAACUUGGGGAACAUCAUAAUAUGAUGGGAGGAGUCAUUUGGUGACUUUUGAGUGAAAUCCAAUGGCUAAAACUAUGCAAUACACUAACCCCUCCAUUUCAGAACGAACUUCGUACAAACCUGAAUUGUCCAAUUUCAUGGACCAAUCGAUAUCGGAUUGAGUCCAAAACUUGGGGAACAUCAUAAUACGGAGGGAGGAGUCAUUUGUUUUCUUUUGACUGAAAUCCAAUGGCUAAAACUAUAUAUGCAAUACACUAACCACUCCAUUUCAGAACGAACUUCGUACAAACCUGAAUUGUCCAAUUUCAUGGACCAAUCGAUAUCGGAUUGAGUCCAAAACUUGGGGAACAUCAUAAUACGGAGGGAGGAGUCAUUUGGUGUCUUUUGACUGAAAUCCAAUGGCUAAAACUAUGCAAUACACUAACCACUCCAUUUCAUAACGAACUUCGUACAAACUUGAAUUGCCCGAUUUCAAGGACCAAUCGAUAUCGGAUUGAGUCCAAAACUUGGGGAACAUCAUAAUAUUGUGGGAGGAGUCAUUUGGUGGGUUUUGAGUGAAAUCCAAUCUUUAGAACAAUCCAAUACACCAACAACCCCGUUUCAGAACGAACUUCGUACGAACCUGAAUUGUCCAAUUUCAUGGACUAAUUCGAUAUCGGAUUGAGUCCAAAACUUGGGAACAUCAUAAUACGUGGGAGGAGUAAUUCGGUGACUUUUGAGUGAAUCCAAUGGCUAAAACUAUGCAAUACACUAAACACACCAUUUCAUAACGAACUUCGUAAGAACCAGAAUUGUCCAAUUUCAUGGACCAAUCGAUAUCGGAUUGAGUCCAAAACUUGGGGAACAUCAUCAUUUGAUGGGAGGAGUCAUUUGGUUACUUUUGAGUGAAAUCCAAUGGCUAAAACUAUGCAAUACACUAAACACACCAUUUCAGAACGAACUUCGUAAGAACCUGAAUUGUCCAAUUUCAUGGAACAAUCGAUAUCGGAUCGAGUCCAAAACUUGGGGAACAUCAUCAUAUGAUGGGAGGAGUCAUUUGGUGACUUUUGAGUGAAAUCCAACGGCUAAAACUAUGCAAUACACUAACCACUCCAUUUUAGAACGAACUUCGUACAAACCUAAAUUGUCCAAUUUCAUGGACCAAUCGAUAUCGGAUUGAGUCCGAAACUUGGGGAACAUCAUAAUAUGAUGGGAUGAGUCAUUUGGUGCCUUUUGAGUGAAAUCCAAUGGCUAAAACUAUGCAAUACACUAACCACUCCAUUUCAGAACGAACUUUGUACAAACUUGAAUUGUCCAAUUUCAUGGACCAAUCGAUAUCGGAUUGAGUCCAAAACUUGGGGAACAUCAUAAUACGGUGGGAGGAGUCAUUUGGCGGGUUUUGAAUGAAAUCGAAUCUCUACAACUGUGCAAUACACCAAGGACUCCAUUUCAUAACGAACUUCAUACGAACCUGAAUUGUCCAAUUUCAUGGACCAAUCGAUAUCGGAUUGAGUGCAAAACUUGGGGAACAUCAUAAUACGGUGGGUGGAGUCAUUUUGGUGGGUUUUGAGUAAAAUCCAAUCUCUACAACUAUGCAAUACACUAACCACUCCAUUUCAUAACGAACUUCGUACGAACCUGAAUUGUCCAAUUUCAUGGACCAAUCGAUAUCGGAUUGAGUCCAAAAGUUUUGAAACAUCAUAAUAUGAUGGUUGGAGUCAUUUGGUGACUUUUGAGUGAAAUCCAAUCUCUACAACUGUGCAAUACGCCAACCACUCCAUUUCAUAAAGAACUUCGUACGAACCUGAAUUGUCGAAUUUCAUGGACCAAUCGAUAUCGGAUUGUGGUCAAAACUUGGGGAACAUCAUAAUAUGAUGGUUGGAGUCAUUUGGUGACAUUUGAGUGAAAUCCAAUGGCUUAAACUAUGCAAUACAAUAACCACCCCAUUUCAUAACGAACUUCGUACGAUCCUGAAUUGUCCAAUUUCAUGGACCAAUCGAUAUCUGAUUGAGUCCAAAACUUAGGGAACAUCAUAAUAUGGUGGGAGGAGUCAUUUGGUGACUUUUGAGUGAAAUCCAAUUGCUAACACUAUGCAAUACACUAACCACUCCAUUUUAGAACGAACUUCAUAUGAACCUGAAUUGUCCAAUUUCAUGGACCAAUCGAUAUCGGAUUGAGCCCAAAACUUAGGGAACAUCAUAAUACGUUGGGAGGAGUCAUUUGGUGGCUUUUGAGUGAAAUCCAAUCUCUACAACUAUGCAAUACGCCAACCACUCCAUUUCAUAACGAACUUCGUACGAACCUGAAUUGUCGAAUUUCAUGGACCAAUCGAUAUCGGAUUGAAGCCAAAACUUGGGGACCACCAUAAUAUGAUGGUUGGACUCAUUUGGUGACAUUUCAGUGAAAUCUAACGGCUUAAACUAUGCAACAUAGUAACCACUCCUUUUCAUAACGAACUUCGUACGAUCCUAAAUUGUCCAAUUUCAUGGACCAAUCGAUAUCGGAUUGCGUCCAAAACUUGGGGAACAUCAUAAUACGGUGGGAGGAGUCAUUUGGUGGGUUUUGAGUAAAAUCGAAUCUCUACAACUAUGCAACGUACGAACCACUCCAUUUCAUAACGAGCUUCGUACGAACUUGAAUUGUCCAAUUUCAUGGACCAAUCGAUAUCGGAUUGAGUCCAAAACUUGGGGAACAUCCUAAUACGG